rnacentral:lncRNA from 1 species
UUUUACAUUGGUUUCGAUUGCAAAAGGCCUUCACUCAACUGAGUAUAAUACUAUAUGUUGGGUGGUCAUGUUAAAAAUUUAGCUGAUCAAAGAUGUAACCGAAAGGAUUGUAUUAUUGAAAAGAAAUCACAUUGAAAACCCGACUGAUUAGGUCAACCCCGUGUAGGUUAUCUUUCACUUCAUAAUCUCGUAUAGUAGUUUGGAAUUGAGUUGAGUUUCUGAUUUCGUUUUACAUAAGUAAAAUGAUAUGAGUUCCCAAGUUUAGUGUCUGUUCAUCUUGUUGUGGGCUUUAGUUAGUAACCGUUAAAUGUUUAAAGCAGCAGCAAAGACUGCUACUUUCAUCCAUUAACUAAUGGGAUUUCUUGUUGUUUGCUAUGUAUGGUUGUGUUAGCAAGGAGGACAUAUACACAUCAAAGGUUAAGUACAUCUGCAAAAGAGGGAAGCCAUACCUUUGGGUGCCCGAAAAGGAGUUGCAUAAUGUGGUAAGCUCAUAUCAUAGUGUUUAGACUGAUGAUUUUUACUUUCGGACAUGAAGUCAAGUCAUUAAGUUUUCACUUUAUUUGCCUGCUGGUUGGCUGUAUUUUCUCUAUAGUGUGUGUUUGAGAUUUCUCUUGAUCAAGUACACAUGUCCUCCGAAAAAGAGGAAUAAUUUUAUUGUCUGGUAGCAGGCACCUUGUGCAUGGGGACGAAGCUUUAGUCAUUAAAGCUGUUAUCCUCAUUUUCUUUUCCUUCUCUUGCAGAAUGUAGUUGUUGAUGAGCGCUGUUCAUUUGCUGUCACCAAUCCCAUCCCAGGUCCACUGGCAAGCUUACUUAGAUCAUUAAGAAAGGUAUUCAAUUUUGAGUUAUGUGACACCCUUCCCUCUUUUCCCAGUUAUAACUACUUUACAGACAGUUUUUUCUACCCCAAGAUUUGUCAAAAGAUUUUUCUUCCAUAAAGCAUGUGAAUAUUUGGAAUAAUAUUGAUGUGAUGCUGCAUAAGGUACGUGUAUUUGAGAAAGUAUUUCCUUUGUGCAUAUAAAUCUAAUAGUUGAUUGUUCUAAAUUUGCAGACACCGCCUCGAAUUGCCCUGACUGGCGAAGUUGUGCCUCUAACUGAGGAAAAGGUAAUCUUAUUCUACCCCUACUUUACUUUUCUGAGCAUUCUGAACUUGAAUAGAUUUGAUUUCCAACUCAUGGGAUCCAUGUUCUUUGUCACGAAACCGUGUCUUUUCUUUUUAUAAGUGUAGGUUUACUUUACUGCUUUGUUCGAUUCUAUGAUUCUACAACCGUUGACCUUUAUUUUAAAAAAAAAAAAAAAAAAAAAAAAAAUUUCAACACAUUCUUAACUAACUAUGCCUUAAAUCACACUAGGUAUCGUCCCACCUCUAACAUGGUUAUUUUAGGCCGGUUCCUGAAAUAAUCCACUGGAUAAGGGAAAAUCAAAACAAAGGAGGAACGGGGCAUUGAGAAUAUUAACUCCUCAUUCACUGAUGAUAUUCAUCAGGUUUUGAAGGAGCAGGACAUUGGAAAUAUUAACCUUCAUUGAUGAUUUUCAUCAGCUUAAGUUGGUUGCGAAUAUGUGAUUGAAUUACACCUAAUCCUGCUUAGGUUAAAACUUCUGACCUCAUUAGUAAUAAGCAAUAACGGGAAAUUUGAGCUCUGAAAUUGCUUCAGGAUUAUGGUUACAGUGUUUUCUUUUAAUAAAAUGUUAUUAUUCUUGUUAUAGGUUCAAUCUGCAACAAAAGUCCUUAGAGAAGUCAUACGGUCAGACAGAAAGCAGUGAGUGAGUCCAGUUAUACAGUUUCAGGUAUAUUAAGUUCUUCUGAUCAUAGCUGUACAUCACGAAGCGAAAGCCUUAAGGAGCUCUUGGAAGGCGAUGAAAACUACAUAGUUUACAAGUUCAAUCAAAGGCAAGAACCUUGCCUUCUGGAAUUUAAUUGAAAUCUUUGUCUAAAUUUUGUUGGUAACUGAAUCCAGUGUUUUCAUCAGUAUGUCUGAUUGUGAUUAUCCUAGGGUCAGGUUAGAAUUUGGACAAUUUUCAUAGCAAGUAUUGGAGCAGGUCCAUCUGUUUAUAAACUGAAUUACCAAAUAAACUUUUCGUGUCGUCCCCGUCUAUCCAACCUGAUAAUAUGAAAACCUCCUAGCUAGUUUCAAUAAUUUCAAUCUUUAAGAGGACAACAUAUAGAGCAUUACGCUGCAUUCCAUUAAUACAACUAUGGCUAUAGGUCCCAUCAUUCCAUUAAUACAACUAUGGCUAUACGUUCCAUCAUUCAUGUAGUUCUUUGAAUAUAUUUCCGUACUCUCUUCGAACGAGAGAUAUGUUAUGCUUGACGUAGACUGUGAGACCUGAAAGUUUCAACACCAACGACCUCUGACUCAAAAUAUUUAUUGUCCAGAUCGUGUAUGUAUGUUGAUGGCAGUGGAGACACUCAUAAGAUUGAUACAGAAGAUAUGGCUGCGUCUAAAGCAGAUUUGUUAGGUAGAACCUAUUUGAAAGUGCUUUUAAAGGUUUCCUAUAGCUUGAGAAAAUACGACUUUUGUCAGUUUACUCACACGUAUAAAAUUUUGAUGUAGCUCCUUUGUCUGCCAAACUCAUUGAUGGGAUAAAUCAAAGUGCAGCAAGACGUAGAGCGCUAUGCUUUUCUGCUGUUCAUACUUGAAUGCAAAUGCAAAGGUAGACAAUCUUUUAUUAACUUCUAAUUCUUUGACAAGAUCAAGGGUAGGAUCAGAAACAUAUUAACUCAUUUGUAUACAUGUUGUCAUGGAAGGAUGCAUACAUGCUGUCUAUCGACCGCAAGGGGUUUGAGGUGUUGAGCAAGGUUCCGAGUCCUGGGUUUAAGGAUGGAUUUGGCCAGUUCGAGUGGAAGGAAUUUAGACUGUCAUUGAAGGAAGAGGCACGUGACGUUGAAGCAUUCUGCCGUAAACUUGUGGAAAUGGAAGAGGAGGCUGUAAAGGAGGUUUCAGGCCAUAGUGGUUUAGCAUAAAAAGGUUAAAAGGCAUAGCGGAAAGAUUUCUCGACUGCCCAAACCAUUCACGUAUUGCUUGUUUUUGUAAUGAAUCCUAUAGCUGGAUGAGUUUUGUGAUCCUUUUCCCAUUCCUGCAUUUGUACCACGUCGUCUGCUAAUCUGAGACGAGAGUAAGUCCUUGAAUCCCUGACGGACUUCUCGUUUUGCUAACGUCUAUAUCCCGACUACCAUGAAAUCAUAAUAUAGUUAUGGCAGGAGCCCGGUGGAUGUAUGCGUAUCGAACAACUAAAGCAUGUAGAAUUAAAGGCCGGACUCAAAAGCCGGCGUACUUAUAAGGGAGUCAAGGGACUAAUGCUACAGAACUAACAGCCUCCUUAGCCUCAGCGGACUCAGCUGCUUUGCCGACUUCGUUCUGUAAUUGACAGGUUCCUUCCGUCACUCCCGACUGCCAUACAAGUCUCGCGCAGGUAAAGGCGACUUCUGGCGGCAGCCAAUCUGUCCCACCCUAAGUCGAGCUUCUGAGAAAUCCCAAUUGCUUGAGCGAGAGGAAAAACAGAGACGGUGAAAUUGGUAAAAAUAACAUAGUAAAGAUAAAACUCGAACAAGCAGCAAUUUGACCAUGAGGGCAUAAUCAAACAGUAAAUCUAAGAGAAAUAAUUUACAAAGUAAAUAGGCUUUCAUUGGCUAAAUACAGCGAUACGGUGUUCAACAAAAUGACCAAGAAAACAUCCUACAUCUUGGAUUUUAAAAUCCCAUAAAAGUAAACGAUUUCAAACCUUAAACUUAAAUACACAUUCACUAGCUUCACCUCCACCACUUCCUUCAAAGCACACAUCUUGGAUCGACGAGAACCGCUUAAUCAACUUCUUCGAUCUUGGGACCAGCACUGCUGCCACCAGCAGGAGGAACAUCUUCAUCCAUGCCGCCACCGACAUCAGGUCCACCAGCACCACCCUGGUACAUCUUGGCAAUGAUCGGAUUGCAGAUGCUCUCCAGCUCCUUCAUCUUGUCCUCAAACUCGUCGGCCUCAGCAAGCUGGUUUCCGUCAAGCCAUUGGAUGGCCUGGUCAAUUGCAUCCUCAAUCUUCUUCUUGUCAGCUGCGUCUAGCUUGGAGGCAAUCUUAUCGUCCUUGAUCGUGUUCCUCAUAUUGUAGGCGUAAUUCUCCAGAGCAUUCUUGGCCUCCACCUUCUUCUUGUGCUCCUCAUCUUCUGACUUGUACUUCUCAGCCUCUUGAACCAUCUUUUCAAUUUCUUCCUUCGACAAUCUUCCCUUGUCAUUGGUGAUGGUAAUCUUGUUCUUCUGCCCUGUAGUCUUGUCUUCAGCCGAGACGUUCAAUAUACCGUUGGCAUCAAUAUCAAAGCAGACAGUGAUUUGCGGAACACCCCUUGGAGCAGGAGGAAUGCCAGAAAGCUCAAAUUUUCCCAACAAGUUGUUAUCACGAGUCCUUGUCCUUUCACCCUCAUAUACUUGGAUCAAGACACCGGGCUGAUUGUCUGAGUAGGUUGAGAACACUUGCUCCUUCUUGGUUGGAACAGUAGUGUUCCUUGGAAUCAACACAGUCAUCACACCUCCGGCAGUCUCCAAACCAAGGGACAGAGGAGUGACAUCCAGAAGCAAUAGAUCCUGCACCUUCUCAUUACCCUCACCGCUCAAGAUGGCAGCCUGCACGGCGGCACCAUAAGCUACAGCCUCGUCUGGGUUGAUGCUCUUGCAUAGCUCCUUGCCAUUGAAGAAGUCUUGCAACAACUGCUGUACCUUCGGAAUCCUAGUAGAGCCACCCACUAGCACAACAUCAUGGACCGUGCUCUUGUCCAUCUUUGCAUCUCUCAAACACUUCUCAACGGGCUCCAUACACUUUCUGAAGAGAUCCAUGUUAAGCUCUUCAAACCUGGCACGGGUAAUGGUUGAGUAGAAAUCAACACCCUCGUACAAAGAAUCAAUCUCAAUUGUGGUCUGAGCAGUGGAGGAGAGAGUCCUCUUUGCCCUCUCACAAGCAGUUCUCAACCUCCUAAGAGCUCUUGGGCUGCUGCUGAUGUCCUUCUUGUGCUUCCUCUUGAACUCUUGAACAAAGUGAUUCACCAUUCUGUUGUCGAAAUCUUCUCCUCCCAAGUGGGUGUCUCCGGCAGUUGCCUUCACUUCAAAGAUACCCUCUUCAAUUGUGAGCAGGGAGACAUCAAAAGUGCCUCCGCCAAGAUCGAAAAUCAAGACAUUCUUCUCCCCAACGCUGGUUGCCUUCUUGUCAAGACCGUAUGCAAUAGCGGCAGCGGUGGGCUCAUUGAUAAUACGCAAAACAUUAAGGCCGGCAAUGACCCCAGCAUCCUUUGUGGCCUGACGCUGAGAAUCGUUGAAGUAAGCCGGGACAGUAACAACGGCAUUCUUUAUAGAUGAGCCAAGAUAGGCCUCAGCAAUCUCACGCAUCUUGACGAGAACCAUGGAGGAAAUUUCUUCAGCAGCGAACUGCUUCUCUUCGCCCUUGUAUAUGACAACAAUCAUGGGCUUGUCACCGGGGCCGGGAAUGACCUUGAAAGGCCAGUGCUUCAUGUCACCCUGGACAGAAGGGUCAGAGUAUCUCCUACCAAUCAACCGCUUGGCAUCUGAAAAAUUAACCAAGCUCGUUUAAAAUACUAAUUUAUUAAUUACGCAUAACACAGAACAUGCUACCAAUCAAGCUAAAUCCUUUAAAUAUUAUCAAAAAUAAAAAUAACCAAACAGAUCAAGCUUCAAACACUACAAGCUCAGACAGCGUUUCUAAAAUUUCACCAUCAAUUAACAAGAAACUUAAAACCCAAAUUAUAAUUUUUAAGAGAUUAACUAAAACUCAAAGCCUUGAUCACCAAGUACAAUAUUUGAUAGUCCUUUAAUAUUAACUACAUAAAUCCUGCAAAUAACAAUAAAUAAAAAAAUCAACCAUUUUUUUUCUUUUUCAAUUCGCUAUAAAAAGAUUCAAGGCAGGCAAAAACCUCGCAUAAAAUUAGCUCCAUCGUAAUUUAUCACACCGAACCUCAAAAAGAGAAGUACUUUCAAGGAAAUUGAACUCUUUUUCUCAGAAAUUCAAGCAACAGAAAUCCAAAAACAGAAAAAUUUAAACCAGCAGCAAAUAUUGACAGUAAAUUCAUAAAAUCAGCCAUACAAGCAUAUAGAUCAGACAGUACAGAGUAAAAUUGAUUCAAAAAACGCAACAUGCAAGGCAACAAAAAAAAAAACAUCAUAACAUCAGAAAUAUCGCAAGAAAAGAGAAGAAUUUCGAUUCUUACCAAAGACGGUGUUGACGGGGUUCAUCGCUACCUGGUUCUUGGCCGCAUCGCCGAUCAACCUCUCCGUGUCAGUAAACGCCACGUAAGACGGAGUCGUCCGGUUGCCCUGAUCAUUGGCGAUGAUCUCGACACGAUCGUGUUGCCAAACACCGACGCACGAGUAAGUGGUUCCGAGAUCGAUCCCGAUCGCUGGCCCCUCUCCCUUUCCCGCCAUUGCAACCGCAGAGAUUCAAGCAAUCGAACAAGCAAAGAAUCGCAGAUAAAAUUAAAGAUCGAACCGCAGAGAAAAGUAAAGAGCUUCUGAGAUUUUUUGUGCAAUGGGCUGUUCGUAGUCACAGGUGUUGGAUUAAGAGUAGUGAAUUGGGGGGCUAUAUAGUAGGACACUUGUCUAGAAUGUUCGUGAGGAUAUUGACGAUUUUUGGUGGGAGGGUGUCCAGAAUGUUCGGUUUGAUAACGGCCGUUGGAUUCGAGUGUCGUGGACGGUGAUGAUUUGAUUUGCUUCGCGGGGUUGGUUUCUUUACUUUUUGAUCGAAACUUCGUGUCCACUCCCUUCGUCGUCGGAAAUUUGUCUUCUCGUCAAUUUCCUUGUUGGAAAACGUUUCACAGGACGGUGGCGUUUUGCGUGUGGGCUGUGACUUGACUUUUGGGCUUUCGAAGGGCUUUGAAUCCAAACGUGUUUGGGUCAGGCUGCACUGCAGUCCUUAUGGUAUGUGUUUGUGCAAUACUGUUUACAAUUGCUUUUGGACCAAAUGUAAUGGUUGAGUUAAAGCUUAAAAUUUAAGAAAAAUUAAUGAAAAUGAUUUGAAAACUUUAAGUUUUAACAAUAAAGAUAAAAUAAAGGGUAAAAUGAAUAGUAUCAGGAUUGACUUUUUAGUGUAAAAAUAUGAUUUUUCGUUAAAUUGAACAGUACUGUGAGCUUUUCGUUAAAGUUCUCUAAAAUUUAAUCUUUAUAUUAUAUCCCCCAAGGCAUUUCCAAUUAUUACUCUCUUUUAGUAUUUUUUGGCAUCAAUCCUUGGUAAAAUGCAAGUGAGUCAUGUGAAAGCACUUUAAGUGCUUUUAGGUCUCGUUUGGCAGUUCAGACUAUACUGACUAUUUCAGUCGGAUAGAAUAAUCUAUCACCGGAUUGUACUGACUAAAUUAAUUGAGUGUUUGGUGCAGUAUCAUACUAAUUACCGUAUUAUUUAUAAUCUAUUUGUUACCGUAUCCGAUACGAGAUCGGAUUAUAUUAUUUUUACUAAAAAAAUUUGAUGACUAAUGAAAAAAAGGAAAUAAUUUUUUGAUAAAAAUUCAGAACAACCAAAUGCAUCAAAUUAAAUAAAAAUAAUCUUGAUAUUGCAUUUUCUAUUUGUCCUUUAUUUAAAUCAAAUUAUUAAAAAAAAAAAAAAUCAUUUCUUCCCUAGAUCUUCUCCACUGCACAUGAUUCACCAUACCAAAUGGGAUGGACAAUAGAAUCAGCAUAAACCCUAUACCCAAUAGCAUGAGACUUCUUCCCAAAUGUUCUAUGCAUGUGAGAUUGCUCCCUGAUCUCUCACAUUUCUUUCCAUGAGGAGUCAACCCAAUUCCAACGAUGCUGCAGCGAUGUUGAGCAGUAGGUGAAUGCAGGCGGUGCUCCGACGACGUGGGUUUCAGUUGGAUCUAGUUCAAAUCUAGGAUCGAUGGCACGCGAACCCGUGCAGGCAGAGCCGGCCCUGCGGGUGUACAACAGGUGCCACCGCACAAGGCCACCAAUUCGGAAGGGCCCCUAAAUUUUCAUUACAUAUAUACAGAUGCAUAUAAAAUAGAUUAGAUGCAAAAAAAUAAUCUUAUCUAUGGUUCUAGCGUAAGCGAUUUAGCUCUUCUUUCUUCUAGCUCAUGUGUUGGGUUUGAAUCCCAAUGAUAUUGUUUUGUUAUAUUUUAAGCUUUUGCAAAUUUGUAAACAGGAGAUAAUUUGUUAUAUUUUAAGCUUUUGCAAAUUUGUAAACAAGAGAUAACAAAAAGGCAUUCAACGUGUAUCAAACUCAGGACCUUUGAAGGUAAGGAAAAACACCUGGCUAAUCAAACAACUUAUUUUUGUUGCAGUAACUUGUAAUAUUUUAGUUUUAUAGAUGAAAAAAUUGAAAAAAAAUAAUAAUAAAGAAAUAUAACAUUAAAAAAAAUGAAGGGCCUCCAUCUAAGUUUUGCACAUGGCCCCUCAUUACUCAGGGCCGGCCCUGCGUGCAGGUCCUACAACGAGGAACUGUAGAGGAGGGCGACGGCCGCGACGAGAAACUAAAGAGGAGGGCGACAACUAUAAAGUGCAAAAGGAAGAAGAAGAUGAAGAAGAAAUGAGAAGGAUGAAGAAGAACCUGGGGUUGAAGAUGGAAACAGAAGUGAGUUUGUAGAAUGAUGCGAGAAAGCCAGACCGAUAGAGGGAGGACACAGACCCGACUAAUAAUACAUAGGUUUUUGGAAGGAUAAAUAGCGGCCAUACACCGGAUAAAAGAUGUAGGCCUAGUUUAAGUAAUACGGGUACUAUUUAGUACAUAGUUGCACCAAACACCCGGCUCCAUAUAACUUAUCCUAUAUGAUUCCUUGUACAACUCACAAAUGAGGCCUUAGAACCCGAAAAUAUUUUCACUAAAAGUCAUUUCAUUCAUUUUAAAAGCACUUCCAAAAAAGCUCUUAAUAAAGCAUAAUGAUUGGAAAUGUUUGGGAGGGACAUUGCAUUUGAUCUAAAAGCAUUUCUAAACUGAUUCAUCAUGUAUUGCACAAACACACACCAUAUGAACUGUAGUGAAUCAAAUUUCACGCAACAUACUCUAUAAAUACCUAUGUAUUUAUUCAAACAUCCACACAAAAUUAGGAUAAUCUACAUAAUGUGUAGAAAUGAUUUUUCAUAUGUGUAUGAACUUGUGUUUAAGAAUGGGGUGGAUUUGUGUGAUUUUUUUUAUUAUUUAUUAGAAUUCUAAUAUUUUUAGCUUAAAAUAUAAAUAAAAAUAAAUUAGUAUAAUCUACGUAAUUUUUUUUUUAAAUUAUCGUGAAAAAAAUUAAGCUAAAAUUAAUUUUUAAUAAUUUGGGGCUUCAAUUAAAAAAAGCCAUAACUAUUGGAAGUAAAAAACUUUUUAUAGGUUAUACCUUAAAAUUUCAUGUUUAACUCACACCAUUGCACAUUGUUUUACAACUGAUUUUAUAAUGCUCAUUAGCGUUUCUUCUACAAGGAACUACUGCUACAGAACUAAUAGCCUCCAUAGCCUCAGCUGCUUUGAUGACUUAUAACUUCUCCAAAGCAGAUGUCAAAAUUGCCACAUAGACAUAUACUCGAACCGAGCCUUCAAUUUCCUAUACGGCGUUGAGUCAAUUGAAGACAAAGUAUUCUGUUGUCAAAUCCAUUUAGUAUUUUUCUAAUAAAUUUAAUGCAAAUAUAAUAAACGUUGUGUAUUCUAAGAAUUUGAUUGGUUGCCUACAUAAAUAGACCCCACAAAGUGAUUAAUUUUUUUUUAAAUGACAUUAUUGUUUAACAUAUCGGGUGGUAAAAAGAAUUACUCCACAAAGUGAUUAAUUUUUUUUAAAUGACAUUAUUAUUUAACAUAUCGGGUGGUGAAAAGAACAAUAAAGACAAAAUUCAAACAGGAAAUCUGAGAGAAUUUUGUAAAAAAAAAAAAGGCUUCUUUGGCAAAAUACCGGAAUACGAUAUUGAACAAAAUGACCAAAAUCACCAAACAUCCUACAUCUUGGAUUUUAGAAUCCCAUAAAAAAGUACCCAAUUCCAAACCUUAAACUAAGAAACAGAAAAAUACGUUCACCACUUUCUUCAAAGCAAACACUUUGGAUCAACAAAAACCGCUUACUCAACUUCUUCGAUAAUAAUAUUGGGACCAGCACCGCUGCCAGCAGCAGGAGGAAAGUUCCCCCAGCACCCUGUUCCCUGGUACAUCUCGGCACUGAUCGAAUUGCAGAUGCUCUCCAGCUCCUUCUUCUUUUCCUCAAACUCGUCAGCCUCAGCAAGCUUGUUUCCGUCAAGAAAAAGAAAGUAUCUCGAUUCUUACCCAGGACGGUGUUGACGGGGUUCACGGCGACCUGGUUCUUGGCCGCAUCGCCGAUCAGCAUCUCCGUAUCAGUAAACGCCACGUAAGACGGCGUCGUGCGGUUACUCUGAUCAUUAACGAUGAUCUCGACGCGGUCGUGUUGCCAAACACCGACGCACGAGUAAGUAGUUCCGAGAUCUAUACCGAUCGCUGGCCCCUCUCCCUUUCCCGCCAUUGCAACUGCUGAGAUUUAAUCCAUCAAACAAGCAAAGAACCGCAGAGAAAAGUAAAGAGCUUUUGAGAUUUUUGGGCGAUAGGUAAAGAAACUUAGCUAGGAACAAAUCUCAGUUUGUAAAAAUUUCCCGCCUUUUUGUAAGGUAAUGCUAGGGAGACUAAAUUUACAAAUUAAAUUAUGUAUUAUCAACAAAAAUGAGUACCUUUAUUCAUGUUUAAGUAAUAAAUCAAUUAUCAACUUCUAUGUUCUUUAGUUUUCAAAAUUUAGUAUACAAAUUUAGUCUUUCAAACAUUUCUCUUUUUUGCAUGUCCAUGUGGAAUACCAUUUUCCCAUCAUAGGUAGGGUUUUUUUUUCUUUUCCCGUUCACGCAUAAAGACAUUCUUAUAGUAACAAUACGCUAAGGUACAAUGUCUAAUUUUAAUAUUUGUACUUAUCAAGAGACAUUCUUUCAUUUUAAUUUUUUUUAGUUGAAAAUUUGUAUGAACUUUUACACCGUUAUAUUUAAAUUAAGAUACUGCAAGCCUCUUAACUUGAAAAGAGAAAAACGCAUAAAGCCUAUUAAACCAUUAUUUAACUGAUAAAAUAGUAUAUAAUAAAGAAGUUAGUAGAAAACCUAUCGUAAAUACAAACAAAAUGACUUGCACCAAAGCCUAGUAAACCAAAAAGAAAUGAUGAGAAUGUAGAGAGGAUAUUAAUAUUUGUAAAUGUAAAGAACUAAGGGGGUGUUGUUGCGCAGGACUAUCUCAGACUGGACUAGCUUUAAGGACUAAGCUGGACUAGUUUAGACUAGACUAAGCUGGACUAACUUAGUGAAGCGUUUGAUGCAGUGUUGGACUAAGAAGUUGGAUAAUAACAAAUUCUAAUAUUAUAAUAUUUUAUUAUGAUCUAGGUGACCGGAGAUGACGAGGAGUCUAUCGGGAGUGGUUGUUGAGCAUGAUGAGGACGAGAGAGGAUAGUCUUAGCUAGUCCCAUGAUUAUUGGGGGUCUCGCUAAGACUUCUUAGUGAAGGAUUUUGUCCAUGUUAGUCCCCUUUAGUCUCAUUAAUGUUAGUCCCAGCAUGGAACAAACACAGUAUUGGACUAACAGCUAGUCCAAUCCAGUCCAAUCCCACUUAGUGAGGGCAAACAAACGCCCCCUAAAUGAAACGUACACCCAUUACUGGUCCAAAUCUGUAAUCCUUAUUUUAGAUUGCUAAAAUGAAACUGAAAAUGAACGAUGCUAAGUAUACAUGUAUGCUGUCUUUGCUUGCGAAACUCAAGCAAUUUGCUAAAGCUGAGAAACUCUAUACUGAAUAGAACUCUAUUUCGGAGACACUAGGGUUUCAAAUAUACUCCUUGCAGCAUACAUCAAAGAAAACCAAACGAAAGUACUGAAACCUUUUGUUUAUACCAUAUUUAGGGCCUUGUAUUUAGACCUCGUAUAAAUACUCAGGAGACUUAAAUGUAAUUAUGUAAUAAAGGAAGGGGUAAAUAUGUAAUUAGGGGAGGAGCCCUUAUUCUAUAAAAGGGCCUCCUCACCCUCACAAACGGGGGGGGGGGGUCUCUCCUCAUCCCUCUCAAAGCUCUCACUCUCAGAGCUCUCUCUCCCUCAUUUCUCAGAGAAAUAUAAUACAAUCUGUGUUGACGUAGCCCAAACCUUGGGGUGAACCACGAUACAUCUUGUGUCAUUUACAUUACUUGCAGAUUCACGGUCGGAUUUACGUUGUUCCAAGACCUCCGGUUUUGUGCAUCAACAUUUGGCGCCGUCUGUGGGAAACGACACGAAAAGUUAUGUCGGUUCUCUCUCAAAUUUUCAUCUCACCACCGUGAAACCCUCACAACCUCCACCAUGAAUCUGUAGAAACCCAAUAACCAAACACCUAGAGAGUCACUGCAAAACCCAUGUCUUCCGUUCCAGCUCCCGGUCACGGCAGAAGCGAUGGAAACACAACCACCACCUCAUCUCUCUCUCUCUACAUUUUCUGUGCAGAUCUUGAGACCUAAAUCAGAACAUAAGCAUCAAUGUUACAAACUAAACCUGCAUCAGAAAAUAGAGCCUCAGUGCUUCUCAGCCGUUGGAUCCAUAGCGAAGCUCACCAGCUUCACCAUUUUGCUCGCCUUCUUGCUUUCCUGCUUCACUUUUGCUUCUACACAAACUCAAAAUCCCAAAUGGAUUUCAAGCUCCAAGCUCUGCUGUGCCUUGUAGUUCUUCAAGUUCUGGUCUUCUUCUCAAAGGAAGCAGAAGCAGCAGAACACAGCCAUGGCAGCAACUUGAGAGUCCACAAGAAGUAAGUGAGCAGCUGCAAUUUGUUCCAAGGCAAUCAAGGUUUUCACCUACCUUCGAAUCUGCCAUCUUAGUUAGAAGUCCACAAUCAAAUGAACUCCGAAUCCUCGAAUUCAACCGCUGCAGUUCUCUGGGCUCGAGGAUAGGUUGUGGCAGAAAUAACGAAAAAAACAGCCACUGAUGAUGCUGCAAACUCGCCACGGCCACCAGUGGAAAACCAACGAAAAAGGCCAAGAUGCGGAGGUUAGUGCAUCAACACACUUUGUUCCUUAAAGUCAAGGUCCGAGGAGCUGGCUGCGGGAGGAAGAAUGGGGCUGAUCUGGUUUGGAAGGAGUGGCCCAGAUCAUGUCGACAGAGGUAACAGUUUCUUCUGGCAGCCAAAAUUAAAGGUCCACUUCUCUUUCCUCUUUACACCAAUCACCAAAGUCAUCAUCCAUGGCUGCCUCAUCCUCUUCUGCAACCUUCAAGAAGGUCUCUUUUUGCCACCCUUAGCUUGCACAGCCCGCAACCAUCUGCCGCCUACUGCACCACCAUCUUCUCAAGUAGACAGCCACAUCCGGUUUCGUCAGGUCCAUACACGUGUCGCUGCAACUACAGACGCAAAUGGAGACGCCACUGUUUCACGUAGUGAACGGCAGCAAGUUCCAUGACUAUGAGCCGGUGAAGAGCCCACCUGGGCUGUUGCUGGUGUAUGUGCUGUUAUCAUCAUCAUCUCAUUAAUUUUGGAGAAGGUCCUACACAAAGUUCGAAAAUUCUGCACCUAAAAAGAAAUGGAGGGCACGACAAAAGAAGAAGAAAAUGGAGGAAAGGAAUAAAGAAAGAAAAAGGUGUUAGUGGAAUUGUAAACAAUUCCACAAAGAAGUGGAAGACUAUUCUGCACCUAAAAAGAAAUGGAGGGCACGACAAAAGAAAAAAAAAAUGGAUGUCUAGAGAAAAGCAGAAAGUAAAAGCAAAAAGCAAAAGAAGAUAUAAAGAAGUAGACAUAAUUGCAGUGGUGAUGACAUGUAGAAAAGGGAAUUAUGGGCGUGACCCAUUGAGCAGAGGGUGGGCUUUAUUUUUGAAUGAUGUGAUUUAUUUUUUUUAUCUCUAAGAAAUAUCUGUAUAAACCACAUCAGAGGGUAAUAAUACAAAAAAAAAAAAAAACGGCAAAGCCCAAAAUUAAUGGGCUGGCAUGUCAUGGAGGGCGAAUGCCCAUAAGCCCAAAAUAGCACCAACCAGGUGACCAAAAGUAUGCCCAGUACUCCAAAAAUUAUUCGGCAACUUGCCUCUAUUAUCACCAACCAGGUGACCAAAAGUACGCCCAGUACUCCAAAAUUAUUCGGCAACCUGCCGCUAUUACCACCAACCAGGUGAUGAAAUGUACAACCCGUACUCCAAUAUCAUUUGGCAACCAACCAUUCAUACCACCAACCAGGUGAUGAAAUGUACAAACCGUACUCUAAAAUAAUUUGGCAAUUAGCCAUUUAUGCCACCAACCAGGUGAUCAAAAGUACACCCAGUACUUCAAAAUUAUACAUGAGCACUACUCAUGUCAUUCGUACAUAGACAUUCAUGAGCAUCACUCAUAUCAAUCAUACAUAAACAUUUAUGAGCAUCACUCAUGUUAACAUUCAUGAGCAUCACUCAUGUUAACAUCCAUGAGCAUCACUCAUGUCAAUCAAACAUUCAUGAGCAUCACUCAUGACAAUCAGCUUCAAAAGUUUCAUUUACAAAGCCUUAGCUUCAAAAGAGUCAUUUACAAAAGCUCUAGCUUCAAAAGCUUCAUUUACAGAGCUCCAACUUCAAAAGCUUCAUUUACAAAAGCUCUAGCUUCAAAAACUUCAUUUACAGAGCUCCAGCUUCAAAGCUUCACUUGCAAAGCUUCACCUACAAAGCUUCAGUGCAUGGUCUACAAAGACCGCCUCCGAACAACCGCCAUUUCAGCCCAUACAUGGAUUGAAUUUGAAGUCUCCAGCCAACAUCGUCUAUUGACCGAAGACUUGGGGGACUACAUUAUGUACCAUAUAUUAGGCCUCAACUGGGCCUUAUGAAAAAUACUUGGGGGACUCUAGCCCAUUAUUCAUGUACUGAGGAGCGAGCCCUUAUUUUAUAAAAAAGGACUCCCUCACCAUCAUUAGAGAGCAACGCCGCCAGCUGAACAACCGUCUCGCCGCCAGCAUCAACUCUAGCCUAUUAUUUAUGUAUUGAGGAGCGAGCCCUUAUUCUAUAAGAGGAACUCUCUCACUUUAAUUAGAGAGCACCCAUUAUUCAUGUACUGAGGAACGAGCCCUUAUUUUAUAAAAGGGACUCCCUCACCUUCAUUAGAGAGCAACGCCGCCAGCUGAGCAACCGUCUCACCGUGAGCAUCACUCCGAACCCAUAUUUAUGUAUUGAGGAGCAAGCCCUUAUUCUAUAAAAUAGACUCCCCUCACCACCAUUAGAGAGCAUCAACUCUAACCCAUCAUCCAUGUAUUGAGGAGUGAGCCUUUAUUCUAUAAAAGGGACUCCCUCACCUUCAAACGCUGCAAGCCGAGCUAACCAAGGCAACAUAAGCCACGAGCCGAGCAGCCUCGCAGCGUGUGCUACUUCUAGUUGAGCGUCAUUUUAGAUUGAGCACUGCCUCAUAUCGAACAUCAGUUCAAGACAGCAUCUAGUUACUUCGGCCCACACAUGGACUGAAUUUCAAGUCUCCAGCCAAAAGACUCUCUUGACUGAAGACUUGGGGGACUACUGUUUAUACCAUAUUUAGGGCCUCGUAUUUAGACCUCGUAUAAAUACUCGGGGGACUUAAAUGUAAUUAUGUAAUAAAGGAAGGGGCAAAUAUGUAAUUAGGGGAGGAGCCCUUAUUCUAUAAAAGGGCAUCCUCACCCUCACAAACGGGGGGGGGGGUCUCUCCUCAUCCCUCUCAAAGCUCUCACUCUCAGAGCUCUCUCUCCCUCACUUCUCAGAGAAAUAUAAUACAAUCAGUGUGGACGUAGCCCAAACCUUGGGGUGAACCACGAUACAUCUUGUGUCAUUUACAUUACUUGCAGAUUCACGGUCGGAUUUACGUUGUUCCAAGACCUCCGGUUUUGUGCAUCAACACCUUUCAUAGUCGGAUGGAGCAAAAUAUACUUCUUUCGUAUUUUCCCUAUGAAACCAACUUCAAAACUGAUAUACAAAUUAAAAAAUUUCAAACAUUCAAUUACCCAAAAACCACAGUGGUGGAAAUCAAGGCCGGCCCUAAGAAUUUAAGGGCCCUAUGCAAGAUUUAGAUGGAGGCCCUUCAUUUUUUAAUACUGUAUUUUCUUUGUUAUUUUUUUUUUCAAUUUGUAUCUAUAGAAUUUAAAUACUACAAAUUAGAGCACCACUUUGAGUGGACAAUUGAGUGUUUCUUGUCUUGAAAGGUCUUCAGUUUGAAAUAUGUUGCAUGGUUUUUUGUGUAAAACUUAACAACUUUUUAAGUUAAUAAAUUUGCAAAACUUAAAAAUAGCAUUUUUUUUCAAUUUGUAUCCAUAAAAUUUAAAUACUACAAAUUAGAGCACCACUUUGAGUGGACAAAAGUGUUUCUUGUCUUGAAGGGUCUUCAGUUUGAAAUAUGUUGCAUGAUUUUUUGUGUAAAACUUAUCAACUUUUUAAGUUAAUAAAUUUGCAAAACUUAAAAAUAGCAAAAUGGUUCUACAAGGACUUGGACUUGGGCCAUGUACAAGAAGAUAGAAUGCCUACACCACUAGCACUAGUGUGGUGAUUAUUAUUAUUUUGCACAUUUAAGUAUAUAAUAGGUAUCUGUUUACAUGUAAAGAAACUUUGGAGGCCCUUCCGAAUUUGGGGCCUUGUGCGGUGGCACUUUUUGCACACUCUCAGGGCCGGCUCUGGUGGAAAUGAAUUGAGCCAUUGCAUGACAGCGUGUUUUCGAACCCCAUCGGUGACUAAUCUAAUAAAACUUAUCGUUUGACAAAAAAAAUUCAAUUACCCAGAAACCAAAAAUGGAAAUUUUAUUAAAUUAAAUUAAAAUAAACUCAUUGGCAAAAGGAACAUAAAAAUGAAAAUUUCUACUAAAUUAAUUAAUACAAACUAAUGCGCAAGAGGAGCAUAAACAACCUUUUGAAUUAAUCUAAAGAGAUACAAACUAAAAAUACCGGUUGUGGAGCAAAAAAUAAUCACAAGGCGACACGUGGAUUCUUGGGUAAAAGAGGACAAAAAUACCCUUGAGGCAUACUGGGAUUCCUACGCGCGAGCAACGGGCAAUCAUCCCUCAACCAAGUCAAAAGUGCCCAAAAUAGGUAACAAUUUAAAGCCUAUUUCAUCAAAUCCUUUCUAUAAGGUAAUUCCUAAAACCUAAUUUAUUCUAUAUAUUUUGUAUUCCAUUAUUUAGCUAAUCAAUUAGCUAAAUGAUAUUUUCCUUUCAUAUUCCCUAAAAAUUGAUUAAUUAAGGGAUUAAUUACCUAAUCAAUCCCUUAAUUAUCAAUUAAAACACCCAUUCACACCUAAAACUACUAAGAGGUCGGCUACCUCCCUUUUCCUAACCUUUUUCACUUUUCUCCAUUUUAUUACCCCAUUUAUACAAAUAAUCAAUUUUGUAACUCCUAAUUAAACCUAAAUUAAACCCAAAAAACCCUAGCCACCUCCUAUCCCUAUAAAUAUACUCUCAUUCUCACCAAAAAAGCCAAUUCCAACACUUUGGCAAAAAUCCCAAAAUUCUCUAAACACUCUUUCUCUCUAAAUUCUAACUUUGGCAUCGGAGGUUCUUCGGCCAAACCCCCCCAUUCAUCGAGGGCGCACGAGGCUCUUGGCCUUAACCUAAGGUGUUAAUUGUUUUGUAGGUGCAAAAUUGUCCAAGAUCAAGGAGGAAGAAAUUUGCAUCCACAAAUUGGUGCUUUCAUUGAGAGUUGAAAUCCAUACUCGUAGAAGACUCUCGCACAAAAAGGUUUUUUCUUUAUUUUCUAGUCCAUUUGAAUAUUUUUCAUACGUUCUUAUUAUUAGAUUUUUUUACUUGCAAAGGUUCUUUGAUAAAACGUAAGCAAAAUAUGAUGGCUAGAAAUUUAGAAAAUCCACAAGUGAAAAUUCUAAUGUUCAAGAAAUGGGAUUGCGGAGAUCCGUGAGGCUAAAUGCGACAAUAAGUGGAGCAGCACCACCACCACGAGUUUCCACCAUGGGAACCACCACGGUGGCAGGGUCUAUGGUGCCUUCACCACGGCUCGAGCCAUGCCAUCCAAGGCUCACGGCCCAAGUCGUGCCAUCCAAGUUUGCACGGGCCCAGGCCCAAGCCUCGCAUUCGCAUGCAUCACAUACUAAGCAGCCUGCUCCAGCCAAGCAACCUGCUCUCGCGGCCCAGCCUGCUCUUGCCAAGCAACCUACUCUCACGGCCCAUCCUGCUCCAGUGGGUUUCCAAGUAGCCCAAGUCGGCCCAAGACUAUCUUAACCAUCCGGACCUACCAUCGAGCCGGGGGCAUUCUCACCAUAUUUUUUCAUGGAUUUGACAUUUCCCAACUUAAAUCUCGCGCCCGGAGUCUACCACCCUUCCACUGCCCAAGGAGGCGCAUUCCUUCCAAGCUUUUCCAAUCCAAAUGGCGAACAACACUUGUCUCGACAAGUCAUAGAGUUGACGAGCGCCCUUGCACAACAGACAACCUUGGUGAAUCAACUUUUGCAACGCAUCGGGAUCCAACGUGCCCGGACGAGGUAUCCCGAAGUAGGACAAAGGCAGACAGACCUUUUCAGCAGUGUCUCGGUAAGCAGCCACUCGACUAGCCACAAGCCGAACGUUUGGGCAGUGUACAUUCCCGUCUUAGCGCGCGGAGAAGCAUGCACUCUCGACUAGGCCCACGGAUGAGCAUACAUUCACAGUUGGGGUCAUACUCCGAUAGUCAACAUGAGUAACCUUCCAGAAAAAUUGUCCAUUCGUGGCUAAGCCCACAAAGAGCAUCAUCCACCUCACAUCAGAGUAGGCAACACGACGGACGGAGAGAAGCAGUCACUCAAUCCAGCUCAAGUUCAACCAGCAGCCUGGGAAAAACUCGUUCGCCUGCUAGGAACGCACCACAUGCACUGCAUCCGCAACAUAGACGAGCCAAACACAUGGAAGAGCAGCCUAGACCAGCAAGUCAUGGCUGGGGGGCAGCCGAGAGCUCCGCUACCCUAACAAAGGCAAAUUCAGGAAGAAGUAGAGAGACUAUUGACCAAGCGAUUGCAUGAUUUCCAACGCAACGAGGUCACCGACGAGGCACUACGACGGAACAUGACCAACAUAAGCAGGUCACCCUUCACAGACGAGAUCGAGCAGGCAGAGCCUCCACGCGAGUUCAGCAUGCCACAUUUCACAUAUUUCAAAGGGGAUGAAGACCCAGAGAGACACUUAAAGCGCUACCGAAGCGCAAUGAUCCUUUAUUGAAACAACGAUGAUCUCAUAUGUAAGAUAUUCGCCACCACUCUACAAGGCGAGGUGCAAGAUUGGUUCUACACCCUACCGCCAUAAUCCAUCCAGAAUUUCUACGAACUUUCUUUGGUUUUCACCAAAGAAUAUUCAUCUUAUCGCCCGAUCAAAAAGAAGGUUGACCAUUUGUUCGACAUCAAGAAGAACCCAAAGGAAUCGCUUCGCGACUAUGUGAGGAGGUUCAAAGUAGAGAAGGCAAAAAUAGUCGGAUGCAACGACUCGAUAGCUAAAGCAGUCUUCCAAAAAGGACUUCCAGCAGACCACCCGCUAUUCAAAAAAUUGAUCAUGAAAGAAGAUCUAACUCUAGCAGACUCUUUUACUUUGGCAGAGAAGCAUGCAUUUUGGGAUGAGGCUUGCCAAUGCACAUUCAAGGACUUGAAGAAGUACCCGACAUCACUUCCAUAGAAGCAGCGGAUGACUUAUUCGCAUGUUUGACGGUAUCUAAAGUAGCAAUAAGCUCUACCAUCAUGCGAGAAGAGCUGGGGGCCCGACUACCUGUAUUCUACAGUUCGAUGCUAUUAAAAAUUUAAAAGCUGACUUUGGCGAUAAUUGUGUAACCCAAAAGCUUAAGUUUUACCUUCAAACGCAAGCAGUCAUCAUCAUGACGCACUAUUCCACCGAAUCCAAACCGACAACGAUAAAGGCGUAGACCCUGCCAGAUGCAAAGUUUUCUGACGAACGUAAGAACUCAGCCUAACGACGCCCCGAAGGCAGUCGAGCACACUUUGGCCACACCUGCUCCCUCAAUGGAGAUUUUUGGGGUUUGCAUGUCGACGGCGCAUCCAACUACGAAAGCUCGCGAGUAGUCGUGGUUCUUGCCACCCCAGACAUUUCAAUGCUCAAGCAGGCGAUCACUCUAAACUUCAAAGCAUCUAACAACGAAGCAGAGUACGAAGCCCCACUAGCAGACCUUCAACUGACAAAAGACUUGGUGGUGAACAAGCUUUCCAUUCAUUCCGAGUUCUAGCUAAUCACCAGCCAGACUACCAGGGGCAAAUGCAUGAUGAUCGUGGAAACCGACUACUUCACCAAAUAAGUAGAAGCAGAGCCCAUGACGAUCAUGUUUCAGACAGACAUAGAGCGCUUCAUAUGAAGGAGUAUCAUUUGUCGAUUUGGCAUCCCUUAAUCUAUCGUCACCGACAACGGCCCGUAAUUUAUGGGCAAAGAUUUGGUGAAGUUAUUCAAAAAAUAAGGCAUCAAGUAGCACAUGUCUACGCCAAGAUAUCCUCAAGGCAAUAGGCGGGCCAAAGCAUCUACUAAGAUGAUCCUCGACUGCCAUAAGAAAUCCCCCACCAAUAAGAAAAGAAAAUGGCCAGACGAACUCCAAGGAUGUCUAUGGGCAUAUCGCACAACCAAAAGACGAGCAACCGAAAGUAGAUGGCCACAAGCUUAGAUCUGGCAGAAGAGAGUCGCGAACAGACUAUCAUUCGCAUUGCAGCCUACCAGCAUCAGCUCCUCUCCAGCUACAACAAAAGGGCCAAGAUCCGGCAGUUCCAACCCGGAGAUCUGGUCAUAAGAAAAACCUUAAUCACUGCCAGCAGAAAAGGCUCCAAAAAUAUGGAUCCCAUAUGGGAAAGUCCGUACAAGAUCAGCAGAGUAGGUGGCAAGAACAAUUACACCCUCGCCACCAUAAAACGACUAAAAGAUCAAAAAACAGUGGAACGCCUACAAUCUGAGGAAGUACCAUGUGUGACAUUUCGCUACAUCAAAGCCCGAAGACUCAAGCAGCUCGACGGGCACUACCUCACCAGCCGAGGAUUAUCCAGUUGUUAUGCAGUUAUUACCUUACAUCUAAGUUCUCGUUCGUUUAACUCAUUUUUCAAUGAGGAAUUCAUAAGUAAUCACGACUUGGCUUGGUUGCAUGCUUACAACAACUGAUCACUCCUGCACUUCAAAAGAAGACCGCGCCCUUCUUAGGGACUUACUGCAGGAAUUGCGCCCCCCGAAGGACCAACCAUGCUCUUCAGUGCGAGAGGGUAAACUAAUUGCUCUCCAACGCGAGAGGGUAAACCAAUUCCCCGACACCCACAUGGGUCAGCUCUCCAAGAACGGGAGGAUAAACUCUACACUCUGAAUAUCCAGACGUGGAUGAGCCGGGCUGCCCUAGUAUAACUAGAUGCACGAUGGCUUGCGCUGGGAUUCCUAGAAGUAGCCGCAAUGGUCUUUUUCAAGGCUUAGCUAACUGAAGGAUUUUGGGUCUCUUGGCCUAAUCCGUGGGGAACCGGGCCCUAGAGACGGAGAGGGCACAUUACACAGUACAUCCGAUGGACGACUGCCCUGGAAUCCUAAAGCUGCUACCGAGUGCACUAAGGUAGCCUACGGAUUCCAGAAGACUGCCUACGGCUUGCCCUUCGAGCAGUAAAGCUGCACUAGACUUAUACAACCACACAUUCUUGUGAAAGGUUAAACAAGCUAGCACGCAUAUACGAAGUUUUAUCCACUGCCGACAUGCUACGUAGUCGAUAAGCUUCACCUCUGCUAAGCGCGGAACAACCUACACCAAGUCCUAAAGUGUUGUGAUACUUGCUACGCAACCUACGGAAUUGGAGAAAGUCAAGGUUAACAGCCUAGUGGUUACGCGGACUUGUCUGCUUCUAUAAGUAAGGCAUCCGGCUGCCAACCCAAUGGCUAACAACUUUGCAAAGUUCUACACCAAAACCUACGGCUGCAUAGGCUACAUGAGCAUGUCUGCUUAUAAAAAAAUAGCAUGCUUGCCACUGGUCUAUCAAGUCUAAAGGUUAGGGCAUGAACAAAAGAAGCAAAAAUGAAGAAAAGCUAAGGAAAACAUGUUUAUAAACGACUAGCAAAGGCCGAAAGAGUUCAAGCAAAACAAGAGCUACAAAGAAAAUCUUAAAGGUUGCCUAGAUGACUACACUUUAGCAGCCUGGACAUCCGACGACUAUUCGGUCGCCACAUCUUCAGCAGCCGCGAAGCUCUUAGCAGCGGCAUCACCCCCGACUGCUCCAGCCUGGGCACCAACUUCUCCAACUACUUCACCAAUACCAACAUGGACGCGCUGCAGCUCAUCCACUUCUUUCUUCAAACUUUCGUUGAUAUUCAGUACACCUUGAAGUUCCAACAUUUGGGGUUCAAGCCUAUCGACGAUUCUCUUGAAGUGGAUCACUUGAUUAUAAGCAGCAAUCAACUUUUCAUCCUUUGCAUAAGCAGGGAAAGAAGUCUUUGGUUUUUUCUAAGCCGUUAUCUCUUGAACAGGCAGGGAAGAUCCCUUUUCCCACCUUCACAUGCAGCAGGAUCCACAGCGGUGAUUGGACGAGCCAAUGCAUCCGCCUUGAUCCUAUUCACCUCUUAUUUUGGGAGCAGCCCAUGUUUGUCCUGACGAAGAGAGUUAAAGUAGCCAACGCCAUUCAUGGUACCUAGCAGGGGAGUUCAACCCAACAUUCCAGCAGCUCAUGAGGCCCACAACCUUUUCAUUUCUCUCAAUCACCUGCCUAGCUCGCGUCAUGUCUAAAAGCCCAAAAAGACAUGAGCCAUGUGAUUCGCCUAGCACUGCGCCACAUCGCCACAAUCCGUGGCCUUAGCCAUACAAGCUGCCUUUGGUUCUAGCCAAGUCGAGCAGUUUAAAGCAGUGGUCCCUGCCACAAUACCUCAUCGGCCCAUGUCGAGCCGACUCCUGGCCCAUGCUAGCCAACAUGCCGCACCACCCCGACGGCUGCCCCAAGGUAGCACCAUCCAAGAAGAAGACAAGGAAAAUUAAUUUUUUCUUACCUCAGUGCGGCAUGAAGAAGACGAAGAAAGCAACGAAAGACGGUCCUUUGCACGUGCAAGAUGUAGAAAAUUGCUAGAGGAGGGGGAACAAAUAUCCUCUAAGCUAUCUCUCUCUUGUAGGAUACAAUAAAUCGUUCUCCAAAGUUGAUUUAAUAACCCACUUAAGGUGGACUUAAAUAGGAUUUGAGAGAAAUUUAUUUCCCUUUCCUAGAAGGAUCUAAUUUCCUAUUAAAGAGAGAAUCUACAUCAAAAUAGGAAGCAGUCCCACGUUUCCUAAAGCAAGAUGAUCUCUACACCUGCUGCAAUUUCCUACGAGCAGCCCAACAGGUGUGGGGGCAUUUGUGGAGCAAAAAAUAAUCACAAGGCGACACGUGGAUUCUUGGGUAAAAGAGGACAAAAAUACCCUUGAGGCAUACUGGGAUUCCUACGCGCGAGCAACGGGCAAUCAUCCCUAAACCAAGUCAAAAGUGCCCAAAAUAGAUAACAAUUUAAUGCCUAUUUCAUCAAAUCCUUUCUAUAAGGUAAUUCCUAAAACCAAAUUUAUUCUAUAUAUUUUGUAUUCCAUUAUUUAGCUAAUCAAUUAGCUAAAUGAUAUUUUCCUUUCAUAUUCCCUAAAAAUUGAUUAAUUAAGGGAUUAAUUACCUAAUCAAUCACUUAAUUAUCAAUUAAAACACCCAUUCACACCUAAAACUACUAAGAGGUCGGCCACCUCCCUUUUCCUAACCUUUUUCACUUUUCUCCAUUUUAUUACCCCAUAUACAAAUAAUCAAUUUUGUAACUCCUAAUUAAACCUAAAUUAAACCCAAAAAACCCAGCCACCUCCUAUCCCUAUAAAUAUACUCUCAUUCUCACCAAAAAAGCCAAUUCCAACACUUUGUAAAAAAUCCCAAAAUUCUCUAAACACUCUUUCUCUUUAAAUUCUAACUUUGGCAUCGGAGGUUUUUCGGCCAAAGCCCCCCCAUUCAUUGUGGGCGCGCGAGGCUCUUGGCCUUAACCUAAGGUGUUAAUUGUUUUGUAGGUGCAAAAUUGUCCAAGAUCAAGGAGGAAGAAAUUUGCAUCCACACGGGUCUUGCCAAGAAUCAUGCAAUUCAACACCAUCAAAUUAAUCGUCCCAUUAGGUAAAGUUUCCGGCUUUGCAACAAAACUCUAUAGUGGUGGAGCCAAAAAACCAGAUUAGGAAGGGCCUUUCAGCCAUAGAAAGAAAUGAGCCUUUAAAAUAUAAUUAAUGACGAGAAAUUAAAGGUUUUGUUUUUUGUAUUGGCAUGGAAAAUUCUAAUAAAACAAGAAUGGUAGAACUUUACAUUUUGUAUAGAAAACUUAGUAUUGAAAUAAUUAUAUCAUAUGAACAAAACUUGUUUCAAGCUUUGAUAAAAAUAAAAAAAAUAAAAAAUAGAUUCGAACAAAAAUCUAAGAUCAUGACUUAAUUAGAUUUUUCUCUAGACUAUUUAGGCCUUUGAUUUAUAUCAACUAGCUAAAAAAAAGUAUGAUUUUUAUAUGGUAAAACGUAAGGCAAAUUAUAACCAAAAAAAAGGAGGGCUUAGUUUUAUUAUGGGGAAAAAUAAGGCAAAGUAUAAGGAUUUUGCUUCCAAUUUAAUCACAGAUUGGAAAUGUGUUCAUCUGUAAUUUGCUAGCAGCAAGAGUUGUUGCUGAUUUUUUCAGCAGUCAAGUUUUGUUCCAAAAAAAUAAACAUCUAAACAGUGUCGGAGCACAAGCAAGUCUCCAACCGAGACCAUUUGGAUAUGCAAAAAGCCAAAAUCCAAUGAGCUACAUGCUCAUUUUGGUAAAAGCUUGCAGACAACAUAUAUAAGACCUGAAAUUUCAAGAUAGGCCAUCACUGGUCUCUAUCUGGCUCCGCCACUGAAACUCUACAAAUAUAAAAAUCAUAACCCAAUUUAGACGAUAAAUUUAUGGAAGCAUAUAAAUAGAGAAAUAAUUUGCUAUUUUAAAAAAUUAUAUCCAUGUAAUCAUAUAAUAUGUAGCAAACCUCGUUGAGAAGAAAUUGAGAAUUUUGUAAGAUGAAGACUUUGUGCACAUUUAUUUAUUUAUUUUUUCUGAUUUCCUAGAAUGAAAUGAGAUUUGGGGGAGGAUAUAUCGGCAGUUUAGUUUGAUAGAAGCUACUUUUUGCUCAACGUGGGUGCCGUUUUUCCAUUUUUCACAUUCAAUUUUUUUAUUGAGGGUUCAUCACGUCCAUUUUUUAAUUUUAUUUUCAUGUUUACAAUCAUCCUGCGUUUUUUUUAAUUGUAUUUUCUUAUUAUUAUACAUUUUAAUGGGUGGGAUCUUAAUCUCUCUCCUAAAAUGGAGGAGGAGUGGGGUUAAUAUCUCCUUAAUCAGCAUGUCUUAAAUGAAAGAGCAGUAUGGCUAAUCUCUCCUUAAUCGGCAUGUCUUCCCCCUUUUUUUUUAUUUUUUUUCCUUUUUUUCUUCUAAUAAAAGGAAUUAAAUAUUUUUUUUCUUUACACAAUUGCCCUUACUUUUUUUUUUUCAUAUUCUAGAAUAUGCCCACAAACAAAUUGUGUGGACAUUUUUACUUUUGUUUUUAAAAUUGAGGGAGAGAGGAAGAGAGUGAAAGAAAAACGUGGGAAUGGGGAGAGAUGGAUAGAGGUUUAUUUUUUUAUAUAUAUUUUUUUAAUUAGAGAUGAUAAAAUUACAUGUAUGUGAUGUUUAAACAAAACAAAAAAAUAAAUUUUUGUUUUAUGAAAUUAUGUUAUUGUCCUUAACUUUUUUUGUAGUGAUAAAAACAAAUGUCUUUUUCACAUUUUUUGGGUUGAUAAAGAAGGUUUCAAUAAUAUAGUACAUAUUUUGUAUCAAUAUGAUAAGUCGGUUUACAAGCAUUUUUAGUCCAAGUGUAAUGGUUGGGUUCAAGCUUAAAAUUUAAGUUUUAAAUCCCCCGAAAGCAUUUCCAGUCAUUAGGUUUUAUUAGGUCUUGGUGAGAAAAAAAACACCAUUGGCCCAGAUUCCGCCCACAAUUUAAUAUUUGUACUUAUCAAUUGACAUUCUUUCAUUUUAUUUUUUUUAGUUGAAAAAUUUUAUGAACUUUUGCACCGUUAUAUUUAAAUUAAGAUACUGCAAGUCUCUUAACUUGAAAAGAGAAAAAAGCAUAAACCCUAUUAAACCAUUAUUUAACUAAUAAAAUAGUAUAUAAUAAAGAAGUUAAUAGAAAACCUAUCGUAAAUACAAACAGAAUGACUUGCACCAAAGCCUAUUAAACCAAAAAGAAAUAAUGAGAAUGUAGAGAGGAUAUUAAUAUUUGUAAAUGCAAAGAAGUAAAUGAAACAUACACCCACUACUGGUCCAAAUUUGUAAUCCUUAUUUUAGAUUGUUAAAAUGAAACUCAAAAUGAACGAUGCUAAGUAUACAUGUAUGCUGUCUUUGCUUGCGAAACUCAAGCAGUUUACAAAAGCUAAGAAACUCUAUACUGAAUAGAAUUCUGUUUCGGAGACACUAGGGUUUCAAAUAUACUCCUUGCAGCAUACAUCAAAGAAAACCAAACGAAAGGACUGAAACCUUUCAUAGUCGGAUGGAGCAGAAUAUACUUCUUCCGUAUUUUCCCUAUGAAACCAACUUCAAAACUGAUUAUACAAAUUAAAAAUUUUCAAACAUUCAAUUACCUAGAAACCACAGUGGUGGAAAUGAAUUGAGCCAUUGCAUGAUAGCGUGUCUUCGAACCACAUCGGUGGCUAAUCUAAUAAAACUUAUCGUUUGACAAAAAAAAUUCAAUUACCCAGAAACCAAAAAUGGAAAUUUUAUUAAAUUAAAUUAAAAUAAACUCAUUGACAAAAGGAACAUAAAAAUGAAAAUUUCUACUAAAUUAAUUAAUACAAACUAAUGCACAAGAGGAGCAUAAACAACCUUUUGAAUUAAUCUAAAGAGAUACAAACUAAAAAUACCGGUCUUGCCAAGAAUCAUGCAAUUCAACACCAUCAAAUUAAUCGUCCCAUUAGGUAAAGUUUCCGGCUUUGCAACAAAACUCUAUAGUGGUGGAGCCAGAAAACCAGAUUAGGAAGGGCCUUAGAAAUUAGCCUUUAAAAUAUAAUUAAUGAAGAGAAAUUAAAGGUUUUGUUUUUUGUAUUGGCAUGGAAAAUUCUAAUAAAACAAGAAUGGUAGAACUUUACAUUUUGUAUAGCAAACUUAGUAUUGAAAUCAUUAUAUCAUAUGAACAAAACUUGUUUCAAGCUUUGAUAAAAAAUAAAAAACAGAUUUGAACAAAAAUCUAUGAUCAUGACUUAAAUUAGAUUUUUCUCUAGAAUAUUUAGGCCUUUGAUUUAUAUCAACUAGCUAAAAAAAAGUAUGAUUUUUAUAUGGUAAAACGUAAGGCAAAUUAUAACAAAAAAAAAGGAGGGCUUAGUUUUAUUAUCGGGAAAAAUAAGGCAAAUUAUAAGGAUUUUUGCUUCCAAUUUAAUCACAGAUUGGACACGUAUCCAUCUGUAAUGUGCUAGCAGCAAGAGCUGUUGCUGAUUUUUUUAGCAGCCAAGUUUUGUUCUAAAAAAAAAUCUAAAAAGUGUCAGAGCACAAGCAAGUCUCCAACCGAGACCAUUUGGAUAUGCAAAACGCCAAAAUCCAAUGAGCUGCAUGCUCAUUUUGGUAAAAGCUUGUAGACAGCAUGUAUAAGACCUGAAAUUUUAAGAUAGGCCUGGGCCAUCACUAGUCUCUAUCUGGCUCCGCCACUGAAACUCUACAAACAUAAAAAUCAUAACCCAAUUUAGACGUUAAAUUUAUGGAGGCAUAUAAAUAGAGAAAUAAUUCGCUAUUUAAAAAAAAAUCUAUCCGUGUAAUCAUAUAAUAUGUAGCAAACCUUGUUGAGAAGAAAUUACGAAUUUUGUAAGAUGAAGACUUUGUGCACAUUUAUUUUUUCUGAUUUCCUGGAUUGAAAUGAGAUUUGUGGAAAGAUAUAUCGGCAGUUUAGUUUGAUAGAAGCUAUGUUUUGCUCAACGUGGGUGCAGUUUUUCCAUUUUUCACAUUCAAUUUUUUUUUAUUGAGGGUUCAUCACGUCCCUUUUUUAAUUUUAUUUUCAUGUUUACAAUCAUCCUGCGUUUUUUUUAAUUGUAUUUUCUUAUUAUUAUACAUUUUAUGGGAUAUUAAUCUCUCUCCUAAAAUGGAGGAGGAGUGGGGUUAAUCUCUCCUUAAUCAGCAUGUCUUAAAUGAAAGAGCAGUGGGGCUAAUCUUUCCUUAAUCGGCAUGUCUUCCCCCUUUUUUAUUUUUUAUUUUUUUUCCUUUUUUUCUUCUAAUAAAAGGAUUUUUUUUCUUUACACAAUUGCCCUUACCUUUUUUUUUGAUAUACUAGUAUAUGCCCACAAACAAAUUGCGAGAAUUUUUUACUUUUGUUUUCAAAAUUAAUGGAGAGAGGAAGAGAGCGAAAGAAAAAUGUGGGAAUGGGGAGAGGUGGACAGAGGUUUAUUUUUUAUUUUUUUUUAAAUUAGAGAUGAUAAAUUCACAUGUAGGUGUGGUUUAAACAAAAAAAGUAAAAUUUUUAUUUGUGAAAUUACGUUAUUGUCCUUUUUUUUGUGAUAGAAAACAAAUGUCUUUUCAUACUCUUUUAGUUGACAAAGAAAGUUUCAAUAAUGUGGUAUAUAUUUUGUAUCAUUAUGAUAAUUCAGUUUACAAGAGUUUUUAGUUCGAGUGUAAUGAUUGUGUUAAAGCGUAAAAUUUAAGUUUUAAAUCCCCUAAAAGCAUUUCCCAUCAUUAGGUUUUAUUAAGUCUUGGUGAGAAAAAAAACCAUUAGCCCAAAUUCCGUCCACAAUUCAAGCCAUAACCGUUGGAGAAAAAAACUGUGUAUGGGUUAUGGCUUAAAAUUUUAAGCUUUAACUCACAUCAUUGCACCUGGUCUUCAAUUGGUUUGUAAUGCUCAUAAGCGUUUGUUCUACAAGUGCUUUCAUAGAGAAACAUUGGAUCUUUUAUUAAAUGUUCAAAUACUUAUUGGAAAAUCACUUGGAAGUGCUUCCUAAAUCAUCGGUUGCUAAAUGCGUUUCUAUAAAACGCUUCUAUGAUACAUAAGUAGUUCACAAAUGCUUCUAAUUACAAUUUUCUUUCUCGACAACCAUAAAGACUUCUGAUUGCCUUUGUCAAUAUAAUUUAUAACCGCUUACGGGUCUUAGAAGUGUUUUUCCUAAAGAAGCUGCCAUGUGAUUUUUUCAUAAAGUAGUUGGAUUUUCAAUAAGAUUUUUAGAUGAGUUUUUCUAAAGAAGCUGCUAUACAGGCCGUAUUCUUUUGGAUGAGUGCUGUGAUCCGUAUCCCAUAUCUGCAUCUGUACCACAUCGUCUGCUAGAUUGAGACGAGAAUAAGUCCUUGAAUCCACGACGUACUUAUCUAGCUUUGCUAAUGUUUACAUCCCGACUACCAUGAAAGCAUAAUAAAGUUAUGGCGGGUGCCCGGUGAAUAUAUGAGUAUCGAACAACUAAAGCACGCAGAAGUAUAAGCCGGACUCACAAGUCGGCAAACGCUCAUGCUUGUAAUCGAAGGGAGUCAGGGGACUGCGCUACAGAACUAACAGCCUCCUUAGCCUCAGCAGACUCAGCUGUUUUGCUGACUUAGUUCUGUAAUCGACAGCUUCCUUCCGUCAUUCCUGACUGCCAUGUAAGCCUCUCGCGCAGGUGAAGGUGAGUUUUAAUGGCAUGGCGGCAGGCCAUUCUGUCCCUCCCACCCUAAGUGGGGCCUCUGAGAAUCCCAAUUGCUUGAGCAGGAGGAAGAACAGAGAAGAUGGUUUUGGAGAAGGUAAACAGGUAAAAAGAACAUAAAAGAUAAAAUUCAAACAAGAUCAAACGGUGAAUCUAAGAGAGAAUUUAGAAAGAAAAUAGGCUUCAUUGGCAAAAUACUGGAAUACAAUGUUGAACAAAAUGACCAAGAUCACUAAACGUCCUACAUCUUGGAUUUUAGAAUACCAUAAAAAAAGUACCAAAUUUCAAAACUUAAACUAAGAAACACAUCUUGGCUCAACAAAAACAGCUACAUCGACUUCUUCCAUCUUGGGACCAGCACUGCUGCCACCAGCAGGAGGAACAUCUUCAUCCAUGGCACCACCGACAUCAGGUCUGCCAGCCCUGGUGCACCUUGGAAAUGAUCGGAUUGCAGAUGCUCUCCAGCUCCUUCAGCUUGUCCUCAAACUCGUCAGCCUCAGCAAGCUGGUUUUCAUCAAGCCAUUGAAUAGCCUGGUUGGUCUGGUCACUCGCAUCCUUGAUCUUCUUGAUCGUGUUCAUCAUGUUGAUAGCAUAAAUCACCAAAGUCUUCCCCAUGUUGCAGGCAUAAUUCUCCAAAGCAAUCUUGGCCUCCACCUUCUUCUUGUGCUUCUCAUCUUCUGACAUGUACUUCUUAGCCUCUUGAACCAUUUUCUCCAUUUCUUCCUUCGACAAUCUUCCCAUGUAAUUGGUGAUGGUAAUCUUCUUCUUCUGCUCUGUAGUCCUGUCUUUAGCAGAGACGUUGAAGAUACCGUUGGCAUCAAUACCAAAGCAGACAGUGAUUUGCGGAACACCCCUUGGAGCAAGAGGAAUGCCAGAAAGCUCAAAUUUUCCCAACAAGUUGUUAUUGCGAGUCCUUGUCCUUUCACCCUCAUAUACUUGGAUCAAGAUACCAGGCUGAUUGUCUGAGUAGGUAGAGAAGACUUGUUCCUUCUUGGUUGGAACGGUUGUGUUCCUUGGAAUAAACACAGUCAUCACACCUCCGGCAGUCUCCAAACCAAGGGACAAAGGAGUGACAUCCAGAACCAAUAAAUCCUUCACCUUCUUGUUACCCUCACCGCUCAAGAUGGCAGCCUGCACAGCGGCGCCAUAACCAACAGCCUCGUCUGGGUUGAUGCUUCUGCACAGCUCUUUGCCCUCGAAGAAGUCCUGCAACAACUGCUGCACCUUUGGAAUCCUAGUAGAACCGCCCACUAGCACAACAUCAUGGACCGAGCACUUGUCCAUCUUUGAAUCUCUCAAACACUUCUCAACGGGCUUCACACACUUUCUGAAAAGAUCCAUGUUAAGCUCUUCAAACCUAGCACGGGUAAUGGUUGAGUAGAAAUCGACACCCUCGUACAAAGAAUCGAUCCCAAUUGUGGUCUGAGAAGUGGAUGAGAGAGUCCUCUUUGCGCUCUCACAAGCAGUUCUUAACCUCCUAAGGGCUCUUGCGCUGCUGCUGAUGUCCUUCUUGUUUUUCCUCUUGAACUCUUGAACAAAGUGAUUCACCAUUCUGUUGUCGAAAUCUUCUCCUCCCAAGUGGGUGUCGCCGGCAGUUGCCUUCACUUGAAAGAUACCCUCUUCACCUGUGAGCAGGGAGACAUCAAAAGUGCCUCCGCCAAGAUCGAAAAUCAAGACAUUCUUCUCCCCAACGCUGGUUGCCUUCUUGUCAAGACCGUAUGCAAAAGCGGCAGCGGUGGGCUCAUUCAUAAUACGCAGAACAUUGAGGCCGGCAAUGACCCCAGCAUCCUUCGUGGCCUGACGCUGAGAAUCGUUGAAGUAAGCCGGGACAGCAACAACGGCAUUCUUUAUAGAUGAGCCAAGAUAGGCCUCAGCAAUCUCACGCAUCUUGAAGAGAACCAUGGAGGAAAUUUCUUCAGCAGUGAACUGCUUCUCUUCGCCCUUGUAUGUGACAACAAUCAUGGGCUUGUCACCGGGGCCGGAAAUGACCUUGAAAGGCCAAUGCUCCAUGUCCCUCUGAACAGAAGGGUCAGAGAAUCUCCUACCAAUCAACCGCUUGGCAUCUGAAAAAUUAACCAAGCUCGUUAAAAAAUACUAAUUUAUUAAUAAUUCAUAACAUAGAACAAGCUACAAUAUCAAGCUAAAUCAAUUAAAACUUAUCAAAAAUAAAAGUAACCAAAUAGAUCAUGCCAGACACUAAAAACUCGGAAAGCUUUUUUAAAUGGGUUUUUAUUACAAACAGUCCCUAAAAUUGAUUCAACUCAUCAAGAUGAUCCUUGAAAUUGAAAAUCGAUCAAUUUGGUAUAUGAAAAUGGGGGGUCAGAAAUCAAUGUGAUCAUUCUGUCACAAUUCCGUCAAACUCUAUUAUGUGUUGAUGUGGCACGUAAGUGGGUCUUACAAGACUAAUGAAUAUUGCCAUAUGGAUUAGAAAUACUUAAAAUAAUUAAAAAUAUAUAUUUUUGGAUAAUUACAAAAAAAAAAAAAAAAAAAAAAAAAAAAAACAGUCAUCUUCUUCUCCCACCCAAGGAAGCUGCACCCCUCCACUUCGGCUCCGAAUCAGAAACUUCAUGCCUGAUAUCUAGAAGCCCCAAAGCCCUUAAUAUCGCAUCCACCGCACAAUGAAGUGACACAUCCCCAUAAUUCGAAUACAAAAUUCAAAAAUUAAAUCGAAAAUGUAAUAAAAUAAAUUAAAAAAAUAUGAAAUUACGGGAAGAAAAAGCAGAUUAAUGGAGGAAUACAUUCAUCUUUUAUUUUAAUUUUUAUUUAUUUAUAAGUUUUUAAUUAUAUAAAUAAUUUUUUAAUUAUUUAAAUAUUUUAAAUCCACAGAGCAAUAUUUAAUUAUAUUUGUGGCACCUGUGCCACAAAGAAUAAGAAUUUUUGACGUAAUUGUAACGGAAUGACCACAUUGAUUAGCGACAUCAAUUUUCAGAGAAUAUUAACCUGCAAAGUUCAAAAAAUAAUUAAAAAAUAAAAAAUAAAAAAUAAACCUGCAAAAUUAUUUAUCACACCCAGCCUAAAAAAAUAAUUGUGUUUGGGAUAAAAUCUGAACUUUGGGCCAGAGAGAAAGUCGGCCCAAACCCAAGGCCCAGAGGAAAACUUAGGAGGCAGGAAAGAGGCUUUCGGCUGGGCACAAGUUACAAAGGCCACCUGCUUACCUGCUCAAAGACCACAGGGGGUAGGCUAUUCAGUCACUACAUAGCCCAAUAAAGUACUUUAUUGGUGGCAUUCAUGUAAAAAAGCUAGUGAGUCAUCACCAAACCGCAUUCGGGCACCGCUAUUGCUACAGGAACCCAAGCUGAAGUCGUCUAUAAAAGGAGGAAGAGAAGACAGAAUUAAAGACACUCAAACAAACAAACAAAAGCCAAAACUCUGCUCAAGCCAGAUUUGCCUUCAACGAAGCUGUAGUCAGCACAAGCCUUCAUCCCAUUCGGGAUAAACCUUCCCAAACCCCUGUAAUAGCUCUGCUACCUUGUUCAUGGUGGUAUCGAUUCAUUUUGUAUCCUCUUCUCCCCCGUCAACCCCUCUAAAAACUUUCAGACCUCUGACAGAGCCACAAAGAUAGAUUUUGUAAGAAGUUCAGCCUUGGCCGAUAAGGUUCAAACUUACCCGACUAUCUUUGCUCUGUCUUUGUCUUUUCUUUCUUUUAAAAGCACAAUAACAUGUUAUAUAUUCCCAAUUAUAUACAAGUUAUUUCUAGCAAAGUCAUAAUGAAAAUGAGUCUUCAGCACUUGAAUCCGAUCUGAAUCGCGUCAGAGUUCAAAUCAGAUCUAAGUCUUAAGCCCGCGGGCAUGUAAUUUAAAGAUCAGUAAAGUCCUUGGCCUCAAGGCAUAAAAAAGAACUCUAUGUGGACUCAACCCAUCCACGACAAUCCUUGAUAAGCGAGAAGUCCGAAGUUACUUGGGGCGCAAGUAAUCAAUCUAUUUCUCCGUUUUGUUGCUAUUAUAUCUUGAUUCGUAGAAAAGGCUUAAGCACGGAGUGAAUUCUGAUAGAAAGCCUCAAGGCCUACACCUAAGGCCCCCUAAGGCCCCACGAAGGCAUCUAUUUAGCUUCAUUUCAUGUUGCGGUCUAGUUGGUCCGAGUAUAAGGAUUAACUCUGAUGGGAAGCCUCAAGGCCUAUACCUAAGGCCCUACAAAGGCACUCAUUUGGGUUCGUCCUACCUCUUGGAUUCAGAUAAUCAAAGGUAUAAUAGUGAUAAGACUCUGGCAACCAUAAAAGACCAAAUAUGAUACAUCCAAGCGCUGGUUUAGGUUGACAGGAAGCCUCAAGGCCUAUACCUAAGGCCCCACAAAGGCACCUGUUAUAUCUAACUUGGUUUCUCGGGCGUAUACAUAUUCAAUCAAAGCUUAACACCCAUUCAACAUCUGCCAUACUAAAGAUGGCAGUGGCACGCCUGAGCACGACAAAGUUAAUCUUGAUUGUGAGCCUUAAGGCCUACACCUAAGGCCCCACAAAGGCACCCUUUCAAAUUAACUUUGUCCUUCUCUUUCAGAACUGCCCGACGAGCCUUGCCCGAAGUGUGUCUUGCCCGACCAAGAUCUGCCCGACAAAGGCUUGCCCAAGCGAGUCCGAGAAGAAAGCAGAAGUACGACAGAUACCCUCAACCGACGCCAUUCUCCCAGGGGAGCUGUGUACUCGUCCGCCAGGAGAUUCCUGCGACGAACAUAGUUUUGGCACGCCCGGUGGGACAAGAAACAGCUACACUUCUAAGAUCUUACAUGUCCAAAAAAGAGAAGCUAUAAACUUGCCAAAAAAGAAGCCAAGAAGGAUCUUUUCCAGAUGACAGAACAAUCAGAAAAUCCUUUAUCCCCAUCCGGACAGGUGGUCUCAGGUAGUUCGACUGCAUCUGAGAAAUCACAGGGGGAAGGGAUUAAUGAAGAACUGCAAGCUACAAUGAUCCAAGUGUUGAAAAGCAUGGAAAGAAUUUCCUUGGAGACUAAGGGAGAAGUAAAGCAGACUCUGCAUGCUUACAGGAAAUCUACAAAGGAGGCUGGAUUUGGAGUUCUCUACUCCAAAGGGUGCUCAAGGAAGUGGAAUGAGUCCAGUUGUUAUAAGAAGUGAGCCAAUCAUUUCUUUGUUUCCACUACUAGAAGAAGAAAAGGAUAGGGGAAAGAAGAAGGUGAUACCUGAAGAAAGUCAAGCAGUGAUGGAGUCAGCUUCAGAAAAGGAGUUUCCCAGCUUCCCAUUAUUAUCAUUUAAUAAUAGGAGGCAGAGCGAACAAGAAAGAAUGAAGUUUGGACUGCCAGCCACGGCUGGGAGAAACUAGCGGGAAAGAAACAACCACUACUACGUCAGAUAAACCUCUACCUUAUAGGCCACCCCCGAUGGUCAACAAAGGUGGAGGAUCUAACUGGAGAAAAUCUGAAACCAAGAGGGAAGCAAACGCGGGCAAUGACCGGAGUCCGAAGAUUGAGUCAGCUAUCCAUGGCCAGAAUGAUAAUUUAGCUACUCAGCAACUAAGAGAAGAAUUGGCUGAGUUAAAGAAGAACGGUGAUUCAAAACGCCCAGCCUCGAGUUCGUCCAGUAUUCAGGGUUACCUACCAGAAGCCAUAUCCUGAAUAUAUCGAUGAGUUAAAUCCAUUCCCUCUUAAUUUCAAGAUGCCCGCAUUCCCGACUUUCACAGGGGAAGAUAGCAGUGUGUCCUCCAGAGAUCGUAUUUUCAAAUUUUCUAAUCACUGUGUGGCGUAUGAGGACAAUCCAAACUACAAAUUGAGGUUGUUUGGAAAUUCACUAGCAGGAUUGGCAUCUCAAUGGUAUUCUCUAUUACCCCCCAAUUCCAUUGCUAACUGGGGGCAAAUGGAGAUGGCUUUCCAUGAACAGCUCUACAGGAUAGAGCCAGAGCUCACCAUUAAUGAUCUGGUAGAAGUGAAACAAUAUGAUCAUGAGUCCACCGAAGAUUUUAUGAUGAGGUUCAGGAGGACAAGGAUGAGAUGUCAGUUCCCUGUCAACCAGGCACAGCUCAUAUCCAUUGCUCAAAGGGCUUUAAAAUUACCUUUGAGAAAGAGGUUCUAUGAUGCACAGUUUAAUGAGCUACAAGAGUUGGUGAUUGCUGCUACUAAGUAUGAGAGGCUGUUACAGGAGGAACAGCAGGUAAAACAUACUUCCAAAACUCCUCCGUUCUACAAAAAUAAAGCUACUAUUCACCAUGUAGAAGUAGGGGAAGCCGGACCCGAAUGCAAAGAUGAUCAUGAGGACAAGAGUAUAGAUGUAUGUGCUGCUGAGAUGACCACACCCUUCAAGCCAUUGACGAUCAAAGGGUUAGUCCAACCAGUCAAGGACCAGAAGAUCGUGAUGAAUGAUGGUGGGUUCGUACCCAUGAAACCCCCAAAGUAUCAAAGUUAUUCUUUCGAUCUAACCAAGGCGCCAGAAAUCUAUGAAGAACUUGUGCGGGCAAGAGUCAUUUUGCCCGACAGCACCAAAAAGAUGCCCAAGCCCGAGGAACUCAGGGGGAAGAAGUAUUGUAAGUUGCAUUAUACCUUCAACCACUCUAUAGUCAAUUGUGUCCAGUUUAGGGACUGGGUACAUGAUCUUAUAGUGAAGGGGAAGUUACUACUCGAUUCACCUCAGGCUAGUAUGUUGGUGGAUACUAACCCUUUCCCCGAAGCUCCUAUUAGCAUGAUCGACCUCGUUUUCAAGGAGUCGGGGUUAUCAACAGAGUAAAAUGCCAUUGAAAGGACCCGGGAGCAGGGGCUAAGAUUGCCAACAAUAAAGAUGGAGGAGAAAAGCAGGUAGGCAAGGGGGCAUAGAGUUGCCUGAGGCCUAUCCAAAUGGAGCAGAACAGGAGGAAUGUUACAUAUCCAUUCUAAAACAAAAAGAGAUUACAAAGUAAUUCUAUUCCAAAAACUUUAUAUCUUCACAUAAGGUGAUUAUUCUAGAAUGGUAUGUUCGCAUGAUGGUAAAAAUUCUAUUUGGUUCAGCCAAGACAGUAUGGCUGUUUACAAGUUCAGACUUGGUUUGCUCUAACUCUGAAGUCGCUUUUUCCACCCCUUCGAUCUGUUGCUCAAGGUUAUCCAGAAGAGUUGUUUGCUUCGCCUUAAGGAUCAUCAGUUGUCUCUCCAACUUCUGAAUUUCAGAAGAAACAACUUCAAUCCGUUCUUUGGUCUGCAUACUCUCUUCCAUCAGCCGACUAACUUGGGUAGAGGAGCUCGAUUCUCUCUCUAUGAAGCAUUUUGCCCGGUUAGCCAGCCGGUCUGCUCUCUGAUGUUGCUCCCUGAGGGCCCUCAAGUUUUCAAAGAAAGAAAGGAAAGAAUCAUACUGAGGCUUAGAUAAGCGAUCGUUUUUAAAGAACUCAGUAAUGACUCUCUCGAGGUCACAGAGAGCCUUGAGGCUAAAUGAUGCAGUGAAUUCUUUCUUUGCCCAUGUUUGAAAGAUUUGUGUUGCUGCUCCGAAGACAUAGAUUUUGUUGAAGCCUGCUUUGAAGACUUCAACCGCGUCUCAAGUCGCCCGAGUGCUUCGAAGAGUUUGGGCAACUUGGCAGGAUCAGAGGAGGAAGGAGAAGGGUCCGGCAUAACAGUUUCUUCUGGUGAGAUAAUGCCUAUGGAAGGGGCAAUUUCUGUUUGUUCAAUCGGUUCAUCUCUAGACAGGGAGGUGUCAACAUCUCCAGAGGAAGAAGGAGGUUGAAAGCACCUUGGGUUACGGGCCAUUGGAGGAGGGGAAGUUUCUUUUGGGGAAGCUCGCUACAAAACUUCAGGAUCAGGACAAGAUGAACUAUACACAAAUCAAAACAAAAGAGGCUUUGGAGAGAAGAAAGUUACCUGACUUAACCCCGGGGUUUCACCAGAAAAUGCACUAACUCCUUGUCGAGGUGAAGAUUUUUCACCACCAGCGACAUAUGGGAAAGUUGUGCCUGAACCUGUGCCUACAUCCUGGUUGUAUCCAAAGAAAGUAGUGAUGAUCAGCAAAAGGUCACCAGAGGAAGAAACAAGAAGAAAAUAUUCCAGCACCUGAGGUUGAUCUUGAGGAGAAGGAGGUUCAUCGACCGUCUGGCGAGUAAGCGCUUGCGAAAUAGUUGUGUCUAAAGCUACAGGGAUCUCAGGAACUAUGGGUUCUUUAUCCAAGGCCACUGACGGGGAAAGGGGUUCAUAUCCCGAAGAUGGCUGCAAAGAACAUGGAUAGGAGUUACUUGGGUAGCAAUGUGCAAAGUUGAAAUGAAAAGAAAGAGUAACUCACCAAAGUAUCAUCCUCAUCCACAAAAUGCAACAUGAUUCUUGUGGAAGGAUCAAAUUGAGAAGAAGGGGUUGCAUCUAGGGCAGGUUGCGGAGAAAGACUUUCUUUCCUUGUAGCCUAAAGCCAAAUUAUUCAAAAUUCAGAAAGGUUUGAAAAUAAGAAAGUAUAAAGAUAGAAGUCAUACCUCUUUAAGCGUAGCAGCCCUUCGUGAUUCCUUCUUAGAAGCAAGGGUUGACCUUUUAGAAGCUUGAGGUCCUGUUGAGUGAUAAAGGGAUAAUCAGAUAAGGGAGAAAGGUAGCCAUUUGAUCCAGAAGAGGAGAGACUCACUGGAAGAUUGUUCUGUCUCUUUACCCGCUUCAGAAACGGGAGCAGAUGGGGCUGCUGGUUUAGGAGGCACGGUGACUCUUGCCCGCUUACUCUUUCGGGUAAGAAUUGGUCGUGUGGUUGCUGAAGGAAGCGCCGGAUCAGAGAUUGUGGUUUUAGUUAUGGCCACCCUCUUUCGUUUAGAUGCUUUGGUCGUAUCUUUGGCUAUUCUUUUAAUUGUUUCUUCAGCUCCUGAAUCCCCAAGAGAUUCAGAGACGUCUGUCCCUUCCCCGGCUUCCCGCCUUUCAGCUUCUGCUGCAGCACCAUGAAGAACUGCGGCAUCAGCAGAAUCAUUCUCUGAUUCGAUGGCUUCGGAUUCAGUAUCAACUGAAGCUGCAGAAACAGGUAAGAGUGAGGAAAGUAAACAACAAGGAAAGCAAAAUCGGAUGGGAAGAAAGUCACCUAUUAGGAGUAAUCAGUUUUUCUCUUGGAUCAUAUCUUUCCAAUUUGCAAGCUCGCCCGAGCUAGGAUAUGAUUUAAGAGAAAGCUGGCUGAAAAUACGAUCGUGGUUCACUUUCAAAUCUCCUCCGUAUUUUCUAGUCCACCUUUCCUCCCACCAAGAAGAAAACAGCGAGGUACAUUCGAAAUUAAGAACAACGGAAUGUCGGGCUGCUUGGCUCAUCACGUCCAAACUACGGCGGGCAGCUCGAAAUAUUGCUUCAGAAUGAGUCUGUAACCGAAAUGAAGUGCCACAAUGGAUGGAGUCGAAGAAUGGGACAGGUAUGGAUUGCCUAAAUCCUAAUUGCCUGCUGCAGAAGUUAGGAUGAUACACAUCCAAGCCUCGAUCAUACCGAUUUCCCCGGACCCCCCAGGCCAAGUCUCUUGGCUGAAUACAGCUGAUAAACUUUUCCCUGCAGAAGGGAGCAGCAUCCUCACCAGGGGCAUCUUGGAAGGCUUGGUCAGAAAACCAAGGAUAUCUCCUCAAGACCGAUGCACCCCAUUCCAAGUCUGACCGAGUCCUGCAGACUCGGAAAAAGUAGAAGAAGCAUGCAAAGGUGGAAUGAUCUACAGGAGGAGCUUCAGCCAGGAUUCGGGCAGGAGCCACACCCUCUGGAAACUCUAGAUUGAUAGCCCGAAAUUCUGGAAAAUACCAUUGUAGCCAAAUCUGUAUCAUCCAGAUGGGGCCGUUCAAAUUGGUCUCAAAGGGCUCAUCCCGGGUCAUGUCAAAAAGAAGGUGAUAGAGAUGGGAGAGAAGGAAUGGACCUGUGGUAACGUCAUCAAAAUUGUGAAGAACCUCUACCAAGGGGAUCCAUUCUACCCGUACCCCCUUGGAUUUGUUGGGGAAGACGUGCUUGUUAAGCCAGUAAAGAAGAAAGUACAUAUGCUCUUGAUCUUUGUCGGCUUGAGGAGAGCCUACCCCGAAGUUCUUCUUGACAAAAGGGAUGAAUCCUUUAAAGGAGGUCCCAUAACUUUUGAAAGUAACUGAGUUAUAGCUAAGAGGAAGGAAGUAGGUGGAAGAACUUGAGCCCCCGGUGGUAGAGGAUGGAAUCCAAUCUUGAGUAACAUCUAUCACCCUGCCCGAUGGCCUCAACCCGAAGACUUGGGCCAUAUCAAGAAUGGUGGGAGACAUGGGACCCAUACGGAAAUCGAAGGUGUUUGUGCCCGUAUUUCCAAAAGAGGAGGGCAGAAGCAAGCAAUUCGGGCUUAGGGGUAAUUGAAAUCUUCGAAAGCAUAAUCAGUUCGUAGAUGCCGUUACUCAUCCAUUUCUGCUUGAAGGAAGGUUCCAAUUCGUCAAUCCACUGGGCCCAGGCAAGAUCAUUCAUCAAGGGAAAGACUCGACGAUGAAAAGACCACUUAGAAGAAGAAAUGCCCGAGUCGGCCAAAUAAGGAUUUGGGGUAAACCAGUUUCCCCUAGGCAUAUUACUUUCUACUACUGAGGGAACCCGAGAAAUCCAGGCAGGACCCAAAGAUUGAACCCCAUGCAUCUCAAAGAAGAGUUCAGAAUGCAGACCUGCCCGCGGACGAUGCAGCCCGUUGAGCAGACGGCGUAGAGUGGCAAUUCCUUCACCAGACUCGUAGGAUGGUAGGGUUUGGCCGGAUCCUGAGGCCAUUUAAUGAAGGCCGUGGGGAAGAAAAACAAGGAGAACGGUAAAGAUACAACCUCGUCGGACAACGAGAAAGAAAUGAUGGAAGAAUUGGGAAGUUUUGUUGUAUCAGAGAAGGUUUUCUUUUUACGAAACACAGAGAACAGAGAAGUUCACUCACAAGGGUUCUAAGAGUUCUAAGGGUUUAAAGCAGGGGUCUCUUUCAAUUAAUAUUGGCGCCUGGGAUCCCAACCUUAACAUCAAUUGAAGGGGGCACUGUUUGGGAUAAAAUCUGAACUUUGGGCCAGAGAGAAAGUCGGCCCAAACCCAAGGCCCAGAGGAAAACUUAGGAGGCAGGAAAGAGGCUUUCGGCUGGGCACAAGUUACAAAGGCCACCUGCUUACCUGCUCAAAGACCACAGGGGGUAGGCUAUUCAGUCACUACAUAGCCCAAUAAAGUACUUUAUUGGUGGCAUUCAUGUAAAAAAGCUAGUGAGUCAUCACCAAACCGCAUUCGGGCACCGCUAUUGCUACAGGAACCCAAGCUGAAGUCGUCUAUAAAAGGAGGAAGAGAAGACAGAAUUAAAGACACUCAAACAAACAAACAAAAGCCAAAACUCUGCUCAAGCCAGAUUUGCCUUCAACAAAGCUGUAGUCAGCACAAGCAUUCAUCCCAUUCGGGAUAAACCUUCCCAAACCCCUGUAAUAGCUCUGCUACCUUGUUCAUGGUGGUAUCGAUUCAUUUUGUAUCCUCUUCUCCCCCGUCAACCCCUCUAAAAGCUUUCAGACCUCUGACAGAGCCACAAAGAUAGAUUUUGUAAGAAGUUCAGCCUUGGCCGAUAAGGUUCAAACUUACCCGACUAUCUUUGCUCUGUCUUUGUCUUUUAUUUCUUUUAAAAGCACAAUAACAUGUUAUAUAUUCCCAAUUAUAUACAAGUUAUUUCUAGCAAAGUCAUAAUGAAAAUGAGUCUUCAGCACUUGAAUCCGAUCUGAAUCGUGUCAGAGUUCAAAUCAGAUCUAAGUCUUAAGCCCGCGGGCAUGUAAUUUAAAGAUCAGUAAAGUCCUUGGCCUCAAGGCAUAAAAAAGAACUCUAUGUGGACUCAACCCAUCCACGACAAUCCUUGAUAAGCGAGAAGUCCGAAGUUACUUGGGGCGCAAGUAAUCAAUCUAUUUCUCCGUUUUGUUGCUAUUAUAUCUUGAUUCGUAGAAAAGGCUUAAGCACGGAGUGAAUUCUGAUAGAAAGCCUCAAGGCCUACACCUAAGGCCCCACGAAGGCAUCUAUUUAGCUUCAUUUCAUGUUGCGGUCUCUAGUUGGUCCGAGUAUAAGGAUUAACUCUGAUGGGAAGCCUCAAGGCCUAUACCUAAGGCCCUACAAAGGCACUCAUUUGGGUUCGUCCUACCUCUUGGAUUCAGAUAAUCAAAGGUAUAAUAGUGAUAAGACUCUGGCAACCAUAAAAGACCAAAUAUGAUACAUCCAAGCGCUGGUUUAGGUUGACAGGAAGCCUCAAGGCCUAUACCUAAGGCCCCACAAAGGCACCUGUUAUAUCUAACUUGGUUUCUCGGGCGUAUACAUAUUCAAUCAAAGCUUAACACCCAUUCAACAUCUGCCAUACUAAAGAUGGCAGUGGCACGCCUGAGCACGACAAAGUUAAUCUUGAUUGUGAGCCUUAAGGCCUACACCUAAGGCCCCACAAAGGCACCCUUUCAAAUUAACUCUGUCCUUCUCUUUCAGAACUGCCCGACGAGCCUUGCCCGAAGUGUGUCUUGCCCGACCAAGAUCUGCCCGACAAAGGCUUGCCUGAGCGAGUCCGAGAAGAAAGCAGAAGUACGACAGAUACCCUCAACCGACGCCAUUCUCCCAGGGGAGCUGUGUACUCGUCCGCCAGGAGAUUCCUGCGACGAACAAAUUGCUUUCAAGGAAAUUGAACUCUUUUUCUCAGAAAUUCAGGCAAUAGAAAUCUAAAAACAGCAAAGUUUAAACAACCAGCAAAUAUUGACAGUAAAAUUCGUAAAAUCAGCAAGACAAGCAGAGAUCAAACAGUACGAGGCAAAAAAACAUCACAUAAAAAAAUUUCGCAAGAAAAAGAAGGUAUCUCGAUUCUUGCCCAGGACGGUGUUGAUGGGGUUCAUUGCGCCUUGGUUCUUGGCCGCAUCGCCGAUCAACCUCUCCGUAUCAGUAAACGCCACGUAAGACGGCGUCGUGCGGUUGCCCUGUUCAUUAGCGAUGAUCUCGACGCGGUCGUGUUGCCAAACAGCGACGCACGAGUAACUAGUUCCGAGAUCUAUACCGAUCGCUGGCCCCUCUCCCUUUACCGCCAUUGCAACCGCUGAUAUUCAAUCAAUCAAAGAACCGCAGAGAAAAGUAAAGAGCUUUUGAGCUUUUGAGAUAGGUAAAGAAACUUAGCCAGGACGAAAUAAAUUCAGUUUGUAGAAUUUUAUUUUCUUUUUACAUUUGUUGGCGCGUAAAGACAUUCUUAUAGUUAUAAUACAGUUAUAAUACUCUAAGUGCACGUACAAUGUUUAAUUUUAAUAUUUGUACUUGUCAAGAGAUAUUCUUUAAUUUUAAUUUUUUUAGCUAAAAAUUUGUAUGAACUUUUGCACCGUUAAAUUUAAAUUAAGGUUAUGCAAGUCUCUCAACUUGAGAAAAUCACACAAAACCUGUUAAACCAUUAUUUAACUAAUAAAUUAGUAUACGAUAAAGAAGUUAAUAGAAAGGUAACCUAUUGUAAAUACAAACAGAAUGACUGCACUAAAGCCUAUUAAACCAAAAAGAAAUGAAAAGAAUGUAGGUAGAAAAUUAAUAUUAGUAAAUGAGAAUUAAUAUUAAGGAAAACUAAUAAAAAUGGUUUAAAAACUUUGAGUUUUAACGAUAAGGACAAAAUAAAAAGUAAAGUGAAUAGUACCGAGAUCACCAAACAUAAAGGAUAAAAUUCAAACAAUAUCAAACAGUGAAUCCAAGAGAGAUAAUUUAGAAAGAAAAUGGGCUUCAUUGACAAAAUACUAGAAUACGAUGUUGAACAAAAUAACCAAGAUCACCAAACAUCCUACAUCUUGGAUUUUAGAAUCCCAUUAAAAAAGUACCCAAUUUCAAACCUUAAACUAAGAAACACAUAUUGGCUCAACAAAAACAGAUUCAUUGACUUCUUCCAUCUUGGGACCAGCACCGCUGCCACUAGCAGGAGGAACAUCUUCAUCCAUGGUGCCACAGACAUCAGGUAUGCCAGCCUUGGUGCACCUUGGCAAUGAUUGGAUUGCAGAUGCUCUCCAGCUCAUCCAGCUUGUCCACAAACUCGUCAGCCUCAGCAAGUUGGUUUUCAUCAAGCCAUUGAAUAGCCUGGUUGGUCUGGUCACUCGCGUCCUUGAUCUUCUUGAUCGUGUUCAUCAUGUUGACAGCAUAAAUCACCAAAGUCUUCCCCAUGUUGUAGGCAUAAUUCUCCAAGGCAAUCUUGGCCUCUACCUUCUUCUUGUGCUUCUCAUCUUCUGACUUAUACUUCUUAGCCUCUUGAACCAUCUUCUCUAUUUCUUCCUUCGACAAUCUUCCAUUGUCCUUGGUGAUGGUAAUCUUGUUCUUCUUCCAUGUAGUCCUGUCUAUAGCAGAGACGUUGAAGAUACCAUUGGCAUCAAUAUCAAAGCAGACAGUGAUUUGCGGAACACCCCUUGGAGCAAGAGGAAUGCCAGAAAGCUCAAAUUUUCCCAACAAGUUGUUAUCGCGAGUCCAUAUCCUUUCACCCUCAUAUACUUGGAUCAAGAUACCAGGCAGAUUGUCUGAGUCGGUAGAGAAGACUUGUUCCUUCUUGGUUGGAACGGUCGUGUUCCUUGGAAUCAACACAGUCAUCACACCUCCGGCAGUCUCCAAACCAAGGGACAGAGGAGUGACAUCCAGAAGCAAUAAAUCCUUCACCUUCUUGUUACCCUCACCGCUCAAGAUGGCAGCCUGCACAGCGGCGCCAUAAGCAACAGCCUCAUCUGGGUUGAUGCUUCUGCACAGCUCUUUGCCCUCGAAGAAGUCCUGCAACAACUGCUGCACCUUUGGAAUCCUAGUAGAACCGCCCACUAGCACAACAUCGUGGACCGAGCUCUUGUCCAUCUUUGCAUCUCUCAAACACUUCUCAACGAGCUCCAUACACUUUCUGAAAAGAUCCAUGUUAAGCUCUUCAAACCUAGCACGGGUAAUGGUUGAGUAAAAAUCGACACCAUUGUACAAAGAAUCGAUCCCAAUUGUGGUCUGAGAAGUGGAUGAGAGAGUCCUCUUUGCCUUCUCACAAGCAGUUCUCAACCUUCUACGAGCACUUGGGCUGCUGCUGAUGUCCUUCUUGUGUUUCCUCUUGAACUCUUGAACAAAAUGAUUCACCAUUCUAUUGUCGAAAUCUUCUCCUCCCAAGUGGGUGUCUCCGGCAGUUGCCUUCGCUUUAAAAAUACCCUCUUCAACUGUGAGCAGGGAGAUAUCAAAAGUGCCUCCGCCAAGAUCGAAAAUCAAGACAUUCUUCUUGCUAACGCUGGUGACCUUCUUGUCAAGACCAUAUGCAAAAGCGGCAGCGGAGGGCUCAUUCAUAAUACGCAGAACAUUAAGGCCGGCAAUGACCCCAGCAUCCUUCGUGGCCUGACGCUGAGAAUCGUUGAAGUAAGCCGGGACAGUAACAACGGCAUUCUUUAUAGAUGAGCCAAGAUAGGCCUCAGCAAUCUCACGCAUUUUGAAGAGAACCAUGGAGGAAAUUUCUUCAGCAGUGAACUGCUUCUCUUCGCCCUUGUAUGUGACAACAAUCAUGGGCUUGUCACCGGGGCCGGAAAUGACCUUGAAAGGCCAGUGCUUCAUGUCACUCUGAACAGAAGGGUCAGAGAAUCUCCUACCAAUCAACCGCUUGGCAUCUGAAAAAUUAACCAAGCUCGUUAAAAAAAUACUAAUUUAUUAAUAAUUCAUAACACAGAACAAGCUACAAUAUCAAGCUAAAUCCAUUAAAACUUAUCAAAAAUAAAAGUAACCAAAUAGAUCAUGCCAGACACUAAAAACUCGGAAAGCUUUUUUAAAUGGAUUUUUAUCACAAACGGUCAUUGAAAUUGAUUGAACUUAUCAAAAUGAUCAUUGAAAUUGAAAAUCGAUCAAUCUAAUCCAUAAAAACGGGGUCGGAAAUCAAUGUGAUCAUUCUGUCACAAUUCUGUCAAACUCUGUUAUGUGCUGAUGUGGCACAUAAAUGGGUCUCACAAGACUAAUUCAUAUUGCCACAUGGAUUAGAAAUACUUGAAAUUAUUUUUGAAAAAAAUAUUUUUGGAUAAUUAAAAACUUAAAAAAAAAAAUAGCCAUCUUCUCCCACCCGAGGAAGCUGCACCCCUCCACUUCGGCUCUGAAUCAGAAACUAUGCCUGAUAUCCAGAAGCCCCAAAGCCCCUAAUAUCGCAUCCACCACACAAUGAAGUGACACAUCCCCAGAAUUCGAAUACAAAAUUCAAAAAUUAAAUAAAAAAUGUAAUAAAAUAAAUUAGAAAAUGUGAAAUUACGGGAAGAAAAAGCAAAUUAAUGGAGGAAUACAGUCAUAUAUAUAUAUAUAUAUAUAUAUAUAUUUUUAAGUUUUUAAUUAUAUAAAUAAUUUUUAAUUUAUUUAAAUAUUUUAAAUCCAUAGAGCAAUAUUUACUUAUAUUUGUGGGAACCAGUUAUGUGCCACAAAGAAUUUUUGACGGAAUUGUAACGGAAUGACCACAUUGAUUUGUGACACCAAUUUUCAGGGAUUACAUUGAUUGAUUUUCAAUUUCAUGGACCAUCUUGAUAAGGUAGAUCAAUUUAAGAGACCAUUUAUGAUAAAAACCAUUUUUAAAAUUUCAUCCAACAAUUUACAAGAAACUUAAAACCCAAAUUAUAAUUUUGAACAGAUUAACUAAAACUCGUGGCCGUGACCACCAAUUAUAAUAUUUGAUAGUCCAUUAAUAUUAACUAAACAAAUCCUGCAAAUAAAAAUAAAAAAUAAAUAAACCGAUCAAUUCGCUAUAAAAAGAUUCAAGGCACAACAAACCCUGCACAAAAUUAACCUGCAAAGUUAUUUAUCAGACCAAGCCUCAAAAAGAUAAUUACUUUCAAGGAAAUUGAACUCUUUUUCUCAGAAAUUCAGGCAAUAGAAAUCUAAAAACAGCAAAGUUUAAACAACCAGCAAAUAUUGACAGUAAAAUUCAUAAAAUCAACCAUACAAGCAGAGAUCAAACAGUACAAGGCAAAAAAACAACAUCACAUAAAAAAGAAAGUAUCUCGAUUCUUACCCAGGACGGUGUUGACGGGGUUCAUGGCGACCUGGUUCUUGGCCGCAUCGCCGAUCAACCUCUCCGUAUCAGUAAACGCCACGUAAGACGGCGUCGUGCGGUUGCCCAGAUCAUUAGCGAUGAUCUCGACGUGGUCGUGUUGCCAAACAGCGACGCACGAGUAACUAGUUCCGAGAUCUAUACCGAUCGCUGGCCCCUCUCCCUUUACCGCCAUUGCAUCAGCUGAGAUUCAAUCAAUCAAACAAGCAAAGAACCGCAGAGAAAAGUAAAGAGCUUUUGAGAUUUUUGGGCGAUAGGUAAAGAAAGUUAGCCAGGAAGAAAUUCAGUUUGUAAAAUAUUCCCUCCCUUCUGCAUGUGCGUAUGAAAGACGCUACGCGCGGCGUGUAGAAUUAUAUUUUCUUUUUACAUUUGUUGGCGCAUGAAAACAUUCUUAUAGUUACAAUGCGCGAAGCGCACGUACAAUGUUUAAUUUUAAUAUUUGUACUUGUCAAGAGACAUUCUUUAAUUUUAAUUUUUUUAGUUGAAAAUUUGUAUGAACUUUUGCACCGUUAGAUUUAAAUUAAGACUAUGCAAGUCUCUCAACUUGAGAAAAUCACAUAAAACCUGUUAAACCAUUAUUUAACUAAUAAAUUAGUAUAUGAUAAAGAAGUUAAUAGAAAGGUAACCUAUUGUAAAUACAAACAGAAUGACUGCACCAAAGCCUAUUAAACCAAAAAAAAAUGAGGAGAAUGUAGGUAGAAAAUUAAUAUUAGUAAAUGGGGAUUAAUAUUAAGGAAAACUAAUGAAAAAGGCUUGAAAACUUUGAGUUUUAACGAUAAUGAUAAAAUAAAGGAUAAAGUGAAUAUUACUAGGAUUGACUUCUUGGUGUAAAUGUGGUUUUUCGUUAAAGUGAACAGUAUUGGGAGAUUUUCAUUAGAGUUCCCUUAAUAUUAAUGGUCCAAAUCUGUAAUCCUUAUCUUAGAUUGCUAAAAUGAAACUCAAAAUGAACAAUGCUAAGUAUACAUGUGUAUGCUAUCUUCGCUUGCGAAACUCAAGCAGUUUGCAAAAGCUGAGAAACUCUAUACUGAAUAGGACUUUGUUUCGGAGACUCUAGGGUUUCAAAUAUACUUCUUGCAGCGUACAUCAAAGAAGACCAAACGAAAGGACUGAAACCUUUCAUAGUCGGAUGGAGCAAAAUAUACUUCUUCUGUAUUUUCCCUGUGAAACCAACUUCAAAACUGAUUGUACAAAUUAAAAAAUUUCAAACAUUCAAUUACCCGGAAACCAAAAAUGAAAAUUUUAUUAAAUUAAAUUAAAAUAAAUCAUUGGCAAAAAGAACAUAAAAAUGAAAAUUUCUACUAAAUUAAUUAAAAUAAACUAAUACGCAAGAGGAACAAAGGCAACCUUUUGAAUUAAUCUAAAGAGAUGCAAACUAAAAAUACCGGUCUUGCCAUCAAACAGUGAAUCUAAGAGAGAUAAUUUAGAAAGAAAAUAGGCUUCGUAGGCAAAAUACUGGAAUACGAUGUUGAACAAAAUGACCAAGAUCACCAAACAUCCUACAUCCUUCAUCGACUUCUUCCAUAUUGGGACCAGCACCGCUGCCACCAGCAGGAGGAACAUCUUCAUCCAUGGCGCCACCGACAUCAGGU